rnacentral:lncRNA from 1 species
CUUGCCCAAACCUCCUAUUCCCACAAUGGGAAUCACCGAGAGGUUUUUGUUAUCUGAUUGCAUCAAUAUCUCAAUUAUCUUUUGUUUAUUAACAUCUCUUCCGACGACAUCUAACUUGUUUAUAAAUGAGUAAGUCAUCUCUCGUGAUCGCGAGUGCCCCAUACCGUUGUCAACACUCUGCACAUUAAGAUCAAAUUGAUUCUUCUCGAUGGAAAUUUUAGAUAAUGUCUCCCUAAUCUCCUUGAUCUUAUGACUGAUUUUUGCACGGAGUAUCACUGGAUUAGAGAGGGAACAGAAGCGGUGUACCUUCUCUUUGACGCCCCCAUACUGACUGAUUACCCGCUUCCGUAAGGCUUCACACUCGAGUUCAUCAAGCACAUCCUCCGCAUCAUACAACACGUCUCGAAGCCGACCCAGCCACAGUUGCAGGCUGUGGUUCUUCGCCUGUUGCUCCUCAGCAUCUAACAACACGGCAGUAAUGGCAGCCAACGUAUUUUUAAGGUCGUGGAUCUGAUCUUCAAUGCUGUAAAUUGCGACAGCUUCUUGGAACGCCGAGGAUGCGAUCUUCCCCAGCACACCCUGUGCAACGCUGAAGAGGAAUGAUUCAGCCAUGCCAGGUGAUGGGGAAAAAGAUUCAGGCUAUUUGGUUCGAGAACAAAAAGAACACCCAAAGUCUUCCUCUCUUGAGUCAAUUGAUAUAAUGACAACUCGUAUGAUGUCUUCCUCACUAGUGGCCUCCAGGUCAAAAGAAACACGGUUUCGACCUUUUCCUUAUCUUGUUAUCUAACUUUCCUUGCGAGUGGCCUCCAUGUCAAAAGCAACACACUUUCUACCUCUUUCUUUGUCCUACUUUCCUGGCACCAAUAAGGAAACGCGAUAAGUUGAUACUAAUUCUAAAUCAAAUUUAUUAAUUUAAUGAUGUUCCCAGUUAAAUGAUAAUCCGAUGCACCUUUGCUAGAAUAUUUUUCAUGAACUAUUUCACUGGCCAUCACAAAUCAAAUAUGAGUAUCAAUUAUUGCACUUUUUUCGAGUAUCGAAUGAACAUAAACAAUCCUCAGCAAAAAUUUUUACAUUUCAGACUUUGUUUAUUUUUGCGAAAAAAGAAUAAUUAAGAAAAUUGUUUCUUAAAAAUGAUCAUUUGUACCACUUGAAAUAAUUAGCCAAUGAAAAACAUUUAUCAUUAUCAGCAACUACUUAUGUCCAAAAUUUUUCCUGAAUGAUCAAAAUAUUUUCCGUUCAUUCAUUUCUACAAAUAAAUAUUUUUAUAAUAAUUCAUUUUUUGCGAAAUAAACGAAAUAUCUGUUACAAAUGUUUAUACAAAAGACAUUUCCUUUCUGUUUUUGCUUUGACAACUAGGAAAAAAUGCCCCAGGCAAGAAAGCCCGUAUAAGUAAUUAUUGAUCUCACAAUAGGUUGUAUGUAUAUUAAUUUGCCACUCAACUCAUUUAGUUAUCCUCAAAAUAACAUUAACUCACAAAACUCGGACUCACACUUCGCCAAAAAUGUUGUUCUUCAAUGGUCAUUGGAGGAUGGAGGGGACAAGUUAAUCAAGACCGCAGUGGAUUUGCAUGGCGGCGAGGAAGAGAAUUUGAUAGAUAUCAACAUUUCUCCGGCGAGAAAGUGUCACGGUGAAGGAUAUAUUCGGCUUAUCCAUCGAACUGAUAUUGAAGUUGAAGGUGAAUGCGAGGAUUUUGGAUUCUAUUCAUUUUUCAUUUUUGUUUCUUUGGGGAUGAGAGACUCUAACGGAAUUGAAAUCUGCCAAAAAAGAGAAAUCGGAUAUUGGAUAUAUCAACGGUUGAGAAUGGAGAAAAAAAUGUCUAUUAGAGAAGACAAAUGGCUUAAGAAUGGACCCAUGGGUGGCCCGGCGACAAGAGAUGAGCCACUCAAAGUGGCUGAUUUAAUAAAUAUGGAAGCGACACAAUGGAAAGAACCUCUGUUAAGGUCCAUGUUUGAUCAUCAGCAAGUCUCGAAAAUCAUAGCUAUCCCUAUAGGCCUCUCGACCAAAAAGAAUAGAUUGGUAUGGACAGAUAACAAAUCGCGAAACUAUAUAGGGAAAAGCGGAAUUUAAACGACAGAAUCACAACAAUCAGCCCACACAAACCAGAACUUUGGAAGCAUAUAUGGAAAUUAGCAAUAACCCCUAAGAUUAAAUUCUUUUUAUGGAAUGCAUGCCAAAAUGCUUUGCCAACUUUGGAGAAUCUAUACAAGAGGAAGAUAGUACCUGCACCUAUAUGCCUAAUUUGCAACCUCGAACUGGAAACGAUCGAGCAUACCCUGCUGCUCUGCCCUUGGACCUCUCAAAUUUGGAACCCGCAAACUCUACAAGUCAAAAUAUCUAGAGCGGGUUUGACCCGAUUCGAUGAGUGGCUAUAUAAUGUGAAAGAAGAUCCACGAAGCUCACCAAAAAUUUGAUCUAAUCGUGACCGCUUUGUGGUGCAUUUGGAAGGACAAAAGUCAUCUUAAGGAAAAAACCCCCUGAACCCGCAUCAUACCCUGUUCAAAGCCUCAACGUUACAAGAUAGUUUUGCGACUUGGAGCCAAAAACCAAAAGAACAGCAAAAACGUGAAGUCUCACCUCAGAAGUGGCGACCCCCAAAUCUUGGAAUGAUCAAGAUCAACAUAGACGCCUCUUUUGUUAGCCUCAGCGUACACCCAGCCUCUGAAGUAGACCAAGGAGAUGGCGUCUUCACCUCUAGUACAUCCCCAGCCUCCGAUCCAACUAGAGGGGCCGGUUUCUUUCGAUCCAAUGCACCUCCAGCUUUUGAACCAACCAGAGGAGCUGUCACCUACUUUGGCGCAAUUCCAGCCUCUGUUCCAACUAGAGGGGCCGAGGCACACCCAGCCUUUGAAUCAAAAAGAGGGGCUGUCCUCUGCAACUCUGGUCCUCCCCCUGCCUUAGAUCUGACCAGAAGGGCCAGUGACCAUUACAAUCACGCUUCCCCAGCCUCCGAUCCCACCAGAGGGCUUGUCUUCAGCAGCAAUGAUGUUCAUCCAGCUUCCGAUCCACUCAGAGGAGCUGUCGCUUUUAUCUGCCGCGACUCCCUAGGCAGAUUAGUAGAUGGGUUCGCCAAAUCGGUUGCAGUCAGCUCAGCAGAACAAGCAGAGGCUACGGCGCUCGUCGAAACCCUAGAUUUUAUCUCCACCAAGUUUCCUCCGAACGGAACUAAACUGAAGCUAACCGCAGCAAGCUCGUGCACAGCAUUUUCACUUCAUAGGAGUUCAGCUGGGAUGCACAACCAUUGGUGGACCGGGCCAAGACAAAGAUGCAAGCAAUUCAGGCUAUUUGGUUCGAGACGAAAAAGAACACCCAAUGUCUUCCUCGCUUGAGUCAGUUGAUAUAAUGACGACUCGCAAAAUGUCUUCCUCGCUAGUGGCCUCCAGGUCAAAAGAAACACAGUUUCGACCUUUUCCUUAUCUUUUUAUCCUACUUUCCUUGCGAGUGGCCUCCAGUUCAAAAGGAACACGGUUUCAAACUUUUCCUCAUCUUUUUAUCUUUACUUUCCUUGCGAGUGGUCUCCAGGUCAAAAGCAACGCGCUUUCUACCUCUUUCUUUAUCCUACUUUCCUAGCACCAAUAAGGAAACGCGAAAAGUUGUUACUAAUUCUAAAUCAAAUUUAUUAACUUAAUGAUGUUUCCAGUUAUAUGAUAAUCCGAUGCACCUUUGCUAGAAUAUUUUUCAUGAACUAGUUCACUGGCCAUCACAAAUCAAUAAUGAGAAUCAAUCAUUGCACUUUUUUUUUAGUAUCAAAUGAACAUAAACAAUCCUUAGCAAACAAAUUUACAUUUCAGACUCUAUUUAUUUUACGAAAAAUGAAUAAUUAAAAAAAUUAUUUCUUAAAAAUGAUCAUUUGGAUCAUUUGAAAUAAUUAACCAAUAGAAAAAAUGUAUCAUUAUCAAUAACUACUUAUGUCCCAAUGUUUUCACGAAUGAUGAAAAUAUUUUUCAUUCAUUCAUUUCUAUAAAUAAAUAUUUUUAAGAAAAUAUUUUUAUAAUAAUUCAUUUUUCGUGAAAUAAACUAAACAUAUGUUACAAAUGUUUAUACAAAAGACAUUUCCUUUCUGUUUUUGCUUUGACAACUAGGAAAAACAUGCUCCAGCCAAGAAAGCUUCGACACCUAAAUUUUGAUUAGAUUUUUAACUAAGCCUUAAUUUCUUUUUUUUCCCUUUUUUUCGGAUAAUAAUAAUAAUAAAACAGCAGCCGCACAGCCCCCUUUUUUUCUCUUCUCCCUCUUUUUUUUUUCCCGGCCCUUCCCUCCUUUUCUCCUUCCUCCCUUGUCUUCUUCCUCAACCCCUGCAGCCAGCACAGCACCUACGGCCGAGGGGGUAGGCCGACGUCAGCCGGAUGAGACGAAUCUCAGGCGCCAUUAAUGGCCACCUUCAAUGCCAAGCUUGCCUCGGUGGAGGAGCGAGGAUGGGACGCCAGUCCAGCUGAGGGGGUCCGGUCGGCAAGCCAAAGGCCGGCGGCCGAGGCUCUCCUUCGACCGGACCCCCCCUCACCUAUAAAUAGGAGGGCACCACCUCCGUCGACGGCAAUGAGUGAGCUCAGAAACCUUCCCCGGAGAGACUUCAGGGGGGAGAUCGAAGAGUGAGCGAGGGAGAGAACGGGUCGCGAGCUCAAACGACCUCCCUCCGAGAGAGAGAGAGAGAGACCAACCCAGAUCUGCGGGUCGAAGGAGGAAGGGACUCAGACGUCGUCGCGGUGAGCCAGGGCUCUUUUUUGUUGUUGUUUGUUGCGCGCGUCGAGGUCAUCGGGCCGGAAUCCGCGGCCGUCGGCUUCACGCGGGUUCCGGGCCCCAACUGUCCAUCGUCCGCCCCGCCGGUCCUUGCUGCUCGACCGCCCGGAGCCUCUCCGCGAUCACAACCUCGAAUAGGCCUCUAAUCCUGCCCCCCUCAGUCGGCAUCCUCCAGGUGCUCGACGGAAAUCCCAGACAAUCUCACCAGCCGCUCUUAGAUCUAUGGUGACCGGCAGCGACGGGCGACGAGAUCGGCUACAACGGCUGGCUGAACGAGGGACAAGGUGACAACGGCGGAGGCCCGAGCUCAGACCGAGACGAGCCCGGCCGCCUCCGCCGCGGAUCAUCAAAUCUCGAGGACUACGAAAAAGUCGGGUCGGCGAAGAGAAGCAGGUCACGGCCGGGUCGUCAAUCGGAGCCGGGUCAUAAUCGGGUAUGGUUUCGGUCAGUUUAGGCCAACCAGGCCCGGUCGCGUGUGGGCUGUCUCGCGCGGGCUCAGAGGUGCGUAGUCCCUUUUUAUUUUUUUGGGCUUUGAGUGAAAAAUUCUGGGCUAGGCCCAUGCCUCAGGUUCGGCUAGGCCGGCGGUUGGCCGAUCGGGUCGGAGGCCAGCAAAACAAGUCGGACCCGACCCGGGUCAUUUUUUAAAUAUAUUAUAUUAUAAUAAAAAAUAAUAUUUUAAUAAAAUAAAAUCAAAAUCAAAAAAUAAUUUAUUUUCAAAAAAUAAUAAAUAAAUAAAAAUAUCCCAUAUUUUCCAAAAAAGCCAAAAAUGAUUUAUAUUUUCAGAAAAAGAUCAAAAAUCCAAAAAAUGAUUUUCUUGGUAAAGAAAAAAAAUCGUUUUCCUCCGCAAAAUGUUUGGAAAAUCCCUUAAAAAUUCAAAAGCCUUAAGAUUUAAAUAAGAUUAGGUACCGAAAGAGCAUUAAUGAUUAAUUAGUAUAAUCAAAUUUACGAACCUAGAGUUAGCCUCCGUUGGGCACCCGCCCUAAUUGAGCGCCGAAAAAAGAGGACGCGACAAAAGUCCGAAUAAGUAAUUCUUGAUCUCACCAAAGAUUGUAUGUAUAUUAAUUUUUCACUCAACUCAUUCAAUUAUCCUCAAAAUAACAUUAACUCACAAACCCCGGACUCAUACUUCGCCCAAAAUGUCGUUCUCUGAUGGUCAUUGGAGGAUGGAGGGGACAGGUUAAUCAAGACCGCAGUGGAUAUGCAUGGCGGCGAGGAAGAGAAUUGAUAGAUAUCAACAUUUCUCCGACGAGAAAGUGUCACGGUGAACAAUAUAUUCGGCUUAUCCAUCAAACUGAUAUUGAAGUUGAAGGUGAAUGUGAGGAUUUUGGAUUCUCUUCAUUUUUCAUUUUUGUUUCUUUGGGGAUGAGAGACUUAGAGAAAUUGAAAUCUGCGAAAAAAGAGGAAUCGGACAUUGGAAAUAUCAACGGUCAAAGUACGGACCUCGCUUGAUCCAAAGGUCUGAAAUUGAUCUUAUGCGGAAUCGUUGAACAUUCGUUUUAAUGGCAAAAUAGGAAGGGACAACGCCACAAGGACUUUUUGCCCGGCCACGAUGGCCCUUUGCGGGGCCCACCAUUAUUUCUCUAUUACUUUAAUGAUUGAUACCAAAAAAAUUCUAAACUACACAAAUAUCUCAAACUUUUUUUAGUCACUAAAAACCCUAAAUUUGUUAUACAAAUAAUACAAAAAAAUUUUAAGUCAUAAAAAAAACCCGAACUUAUAUAAUAGUGCAAUAUUGGGAAUAUAUUUGGAUACUGUAAAAGUUAAUGAUUUAGUAUCUACAUUGCCUUAUAUAAUCUUGCCUUUAUUAUCUAUCUAUUUUUAUAUUAUAGUUGGCGAUAUAAUUCGACACUAUUCAUUAUGGCUACGUUUGGUCGUCCGGAUUUCUAAUCGGGAUAGGGCUGGAUAAGAUAGGCUAUGAAAUCCUUGGAUUUUUUUAUAUCUUGUCCAUUGUUCGGUGAAUCACAGUAUUAAAAUCGGAUAUGUUUUCAUCAUAUCAUAUACAUUUUUUUUUUAUAUAAAUGGCAUAUCAUUAUAAAUGAACUUAAAUGUUCAUAAACGGAGAUAGUGAAAAUCUCUCGUAACACUAUUCCUUAAUUUAUUUUUAUUUUAUUUUUCCUCUUUUUUAUAUUAUUUUCUUUAUUAUUUAUUUUUCCCCUUUCAUUAUUAUUUAAUAAAAAUCAAAUAGUAAACUGUACUAACAUAUCUAAAAUACAAAAAUACCUAAAAUAUAUAAUAAAUAUAAAUAUUUAAUUUAUAGAUUGAAUGUUUAUUAUAAGAUAGAAUUAAAAUUGAAUAUAUAAAUUAAAAUAGGAUUAAUUAAAAAUGAUUUUUUUUAUUUUUAAUUUCUUAAAUUAUAAUUCAAAUAUUAUUUAUAUUGAAGUAUAAUUUCAAUUUUAUUAAUUUAAUAAGUUUGUUAUUCAAGAGAAAUAACUUUCCUAGUAUGGACAUUAGAAAUCCUAUCCGCCUUUAUCCCACCUCCCCCAUGGAAUAUUUUAUCAUGUCUAUAUCCCUUUUAUAUCCGACUUUAUCAUGUCCUAAGCGAGUACCAAACAUAGGAUAGAAUAAAUCAUAUCCUAUUCCAAAUUUUAUCCUAACUGCCAAACGCAGCCUAUGUGUUAUGUUACCUUGUAAUAUAACCGAACUAAACAGAACCGAACGUCUGAUCUCCCUAUUCCACUCUACUCUAAUCAUUAGAACUAUUCAUUUUUAAUAGAAAAAUCAAAGGAAAAAGAAACAUCGGAUGGAGCUAAGUUUUAUUCAUCCGACGAAAAUAAUGCUUGGCCACAUGGUGACCAAAUGAGAAACAUCGAACUAAUUUAUGCCAAAAAAAAUUGGUAAAAUCGUAUUAUGUUGUCAAGCUUAUUGAUGAAUACGUGAACAAAUUGAUUGCUCGCCUGUUCAUUUUUCAUUAUUAAUUUGCAAUUGGAAAUUUAUGUCAUAAAUACAAUGUCACCAUGUCCAUAGCCUUAUCACUCAAUAUAUUAGUCCAAAAAAUGUUGGAAGUCCAGAGAUGUGCACUUGAGUCAAACUUUAUUGAGAGAUUUUGCUUUCUUUUGCUAGUCUUUUCAUUUUUGCCUUAAUUACGGUAAAGAUCCUACAACUUAUGUUUGUCCGAUAUUUGAGUUCCAAACUUUUGAUUUCUAUAAUUAAAUGCUAAACCUUGUCAAUGUUCUCCACCUCAGUCCUUCCUUAUAUCCGUUAAUUUUUCAGACCAUGUAACAUUUUUUUAUUAAUUGUUUUUAUUUGCAUAAGUGGCAUUUUUUCUGAUGCCAAAUAGGCAUCACGUCAGGAAAAACUUACAGUUUUUUUUUUAAAAGACUAAAAUUGAAAAAAGAAGAAGAAAGAAGUCAAAAGAGAGAUCGUUGAAGGUGAGGGCUGGAAAAAGUCCCAAAUUGCCCCAGUAUUCUACCAAUUAGUUAUCCAAGAUUCAAAACUUCUAUCGAAUGAGAGAAAGAUCCACCGAGGGCAGUAGUUCUAAAGAUGACAGAUAUACAAAGAGGAAGAAAUGUUUUUUCUUUGUCCAUUUGCAUCUUGGAAUAGUUAAUGAGCCCAAAUCAUUCGUUAAAUUUAUGUGAUAUGCUACUUCUAUUAACCCAAAGUUCUAUUACGAGGCAGCAGACCUAUGGAUCUAUUUCUUAGUUUUUAUUUCUAAUCCACUAGUUAGUUAUUGAAUUUAGAAAGAAAACAAAAAUAGUAUGAGAGCAGGUUGAAUAAUUUCGUAGCAUAAAUAGAAAUACUAUUUACAUUGAUUAAAAGUAAAAGUGCAUACAAUUUUUUGGCCAUAUUUAUUUAUAAAUCUUUUUAUGAUUACUUUCGUUUUUUUAUAUGUAUUUUAAAGUUGCAAUAUUUCAAAGUAGGACGAGACAACUUCCUUUAACGUGCUGUAAACCAUUGUAGCUUUGGGCGUGUUGUAGUUAUUGGGGUGUUUAUCAAAUUCCUUUAAUAGUUAGAGCACUCCUUUUCACGCCUGAAACUCUUACUAAAAAGUUGACCAACAACCUCUUUACCUAAACAAGGACAUGGAGACUGUAAUUGGUUUUGGCUGGACCAUGCCAUAUUUUAACUUGGAAACUAUCAUCUCGUUUUGCUUCGAAGACCAACCAGAAUUUAUGCAAUCGGAAGCAGGCAUUUCCCUUUUCUUUCCGGGAAUGAUUGAGGUUAAGGAGUCCAACUCCAACCUUAAGGCGAGGUAAAAAUGACUGAAAUCAUUAUUUUAUUUCGAAGAUAAGAAAAUUCCUCAUCCAAUUAGAAAUGGGGAAAAAUAGCACUUGAUUUGGCAGAAAGAAAGGUUCCGCUAGAUAUGGAAGACAUAUAUUUAAUGAUCAGUUUUUAUCCCAUUUCCCUUAUUGUUGGGCAAGUGAUGUUCCUUUUCAUGCCAAUAUAUUCUCUUCACCUGCUUAAUGAACACGACCGCUUUCUUUGAAAAAGAAACAUUGCACCAAAAAUCCACGUUUGUUAAAUGAAAGAAAGAGUUCUCCCACCAUCGAGAAAAGUAAUAAAAAUAUCAUAAGUCUAUUGCAUUGCUAUCCAUUCAAUUAUAAACAUUUCACACAGACCAAUUUAUUACUAAAUAUUUUUAUAUUAAUAUCACUUGAGUUCAUUCGGCUAAUUUAGGCCGGAAAUUAUAAAUGUCAAUGCUGAUCAUUUUACAGGACAUGAUUGGCACUAACAUGUAUAUAUUAUUAUUAUUAUUACUUUUUUUUUUUGUCUUUCUUUUCUUCCAUGGCCUUUGUUGGCAUUGGCACCACCAACACAGACCGUGGCUUGUGAGGGUUGGCCUCGCCUCAGUGAAGGUCGGCUUGCCUAGGUGAGGGUAAGUGCCAGUGAGGCCGACCCUUGCCUAGGUCAGGACGGCCUUAAUGAGCAUUGCUUGGGUGUGAGUAUGGCCUCGCUAGGCCUCUCCAUGGAAGUAACGAGCUCGAGCUCGAGGUUCUGGUCAGUGAAGGGCGCGAGCCGCUCAGCGUGUUCAACUGGGGCGAUCACUUCGCUCUGCUGGGUGUCGGUUCUACAGCGCAUGAGGGGAGGCAUCGGGAGCUCUGCCAGAAGGUGAACAUCUUAGUGGGGCUCGUGGAAGAUCACGGGAUGUAGAGCAAGGUCAAAGGUGAGAGCUGUCGAGACUUCAUCAACGUCUCGCUUGACUCGGACAAGGAGAACCAUCUCGGUGACUGACGUGAUUGCUGUUCUCACCCGUGGAAGAGAAAAAAAAGGAAGAAAAGAAUUAUAAAAAAUUAAAAAUAUCAACGUGAGUAAUUUCGAGCUAAAAUUGACCGGAUAGAUUCAAUUAGUAUCAAUAUGAAAAAGGUAUUAGAAUAAAUUAAUACAAUUAAAAAAUUUAAAACUGAAUUUAUAUCAAUAUAAUAGGUUUAGAACUUUUCAAACAUUUUUCUCUUUAACGUGUUCAUGACAUACUUAAUGUGAAAGGAAGUAUGUCAAGUCUUCAAAGUUUCGGUGUCCGAUUCAAGCUUUGUCGAAGAGCAAAAGUUGCAAGUGCUUCUCUCAUUAAGACACCGAUUUUGGGGCAAUUGAGUAGACGAACGAGGGAAAGGCAUUUGAAGGUUGAGAAAAUUUAUGGAGCAAUGAGGAGUCGUGGAAAUGCGCAGAGAGAGAGAGAGGGUAUUAUCAAGAUCUACCUUUUGUCCAUUUAAACUUCUGCUCUUCGCCUCUGCCCAUAAUUUGAAUGUAAUUGUUACACAAAAUACUUUUAAUAAUUGUUCAUGUCCAUUAAAACUUCUGCUCUUCGACUUGUCAUUGAUCGAUACCUUCGACUUGUUCAUGUGCUGCGGAGCAAUUGGAGCAUGUUUGCUUGAGCGAAGCGUCUUGUUGGCGAUCGUCAGGGGGAGGAUCGGUGUUACCUGGUCUGCUGAGUAGGACAGUGAAUCCGGGGAAUGGCUAGCGGUGACUGGGGUUUUGGCUCGGCUAGACCCAGUGUCUUAUGAGAUCCGACCUUGNNNNNNNNNNNNNNNNNNNNNNNNNNNNNNNNNNNNNNNNNNNNNNNNNNNNNNNNNNNNNNNNNNNNNNNNNNNNNNNNNNNNNNNNNNNNNNNNNNNNAGCUGACUUCAUCAUUCUGAAUAGCAAAGCUCUCCGAACUCAUCAGCUUCUUUCUGACUUGGUCUCUACCAUCUUCUUCCGAUGCUCGGGUUUCGUUCGACAGACGUAUUGGUCCACACGCUCUCAAAGAAUACUUGCAAGAUAGCUGGCGUGUCAAUAAUCUUUGGGAAACAUUGAAUGUGAAACAACGUUUCACUCAGUGCGGCAAAUUGUCGUAACAAAGUUUGAGCUCCCGAAGGAUGUUGCUUCUUUGUCCUAUACGUUGUCUAGCACGAGGAAAAAAUUUCUUACUAUUUACCAAGCAUUGCAAAUGGGUCCGCAAUUGCUCAAUGUCCAAGGUAUCUAAUAGCGGCUGAAACACUAAUCAAGUCUCGACUGAUGGUGUCUCUUCAGAAUUUUUCAAAAGUUCUCUUUAGAUCAAAAUCAUUGGAAAUGCAUACCGAUGUUCGAAAGUCGAAAACUAUUCUUGGACCUUUGCGUCAUCGUACACAACUUAGCAAGCAUUGUUUUGCCUAAGCAUCCCAUCCUAGUUAUCAUGGGAGGGCAUGGUAUUCGAACUAGUGACAACUUACCAUUCUUGGUAAUGAUCACUCGUCGUGGGAAAUGACGUGAAGGGCACCCAAAAUGAUGGGCAAGGCCCAAAAAAUGAUGCGCAAGGUUUUAGGUACACAAAACCUGGCCAGAAUGACCACCCCAUCCUCCAACACAUUCAUGGAGAAUUCCUUAGAGCCCGUUUGGUAUAUUUGUGGUUGAAUUGUAACCGUGCCAUACGGUGUUGUAGUACAUGUCUUAAAGUAGCGACACCUCAAAGCCGGAUGAAACGAUGUCUCAAAAGAUGCCAUGAGCUGUUGUAGCUUUGGAAAGGCUGUACUUGUUGAGGUAUUUAGNNNNNNNNNNNNNNNNNNNNNNNNNNNNNNNNNNNNNNNNNNNNNNNNNNNNNNNNNNNNNNNNNNNNNNNNNNNNNNNNNNNNNNNNNNNNNNNNNNNNGACUUUUCUCCCCCACCACCCGUUGGUCAUUUAUGGCCUUCCAAUCAUUCCCCAAAGUCUGGAUCGUGCUCCCGAUGUCAUCGAUCAUCACUUUCAACUUGUUCAUGUGCCGAGGAGCAACUGGGGCUUGUACGCUUGAGCGAAGUGUCUUCUUGGCAAUCGUCACAGGGGAAGAUCGGUGUGACUCAGUCUAAGAGGUGCUCCAAGGAGGAUGAUGAUUCGACAGGAUGGGCGACGGCGGCUGGAAUCUUGGCUCGGCUAAACCCAAUGUCUUAAGAGAUCCGUGCACGAUGGCUUAUUGACAUGAAUUCCAGCUAUGCAUGCUGUAGUUUUUUUUUCAUUUUGUGUUAGAUUUAGCAUAUCUUGGAGAUCAUCAUCGGAUUGAUCGUGAGCUGGCUUCGUCAUUCUGAAUAGCAAAGCCUCACCGAACUCCUCGGCUUCUUUUCGACAUGUUUUCUGCCAACUUCUUCCACUUCUUGGUUUUCAUUCGACGGACGUAUCCGUUCACAUGCUCUUCAAAGAAUUCUCAAACGAUAGCCGGUGUGUCAGUAAUCUUAGGGAAACACAGAACAAAACGUGAAACAACAUUUCAUUUGGUGCGGCAAAUUGUUGUAACAAAGUUUGAGUGCAUGAAGGAUGUUGCUUCUUUAUACUGAUUCCCGCAUACUGCUAUUGUCUCUUGUUAAUAUGCCCACAAUUGCUAAUUGGCCCUCGAGAGAUUUCCGAGCAAGAGGAACUCAAUUGCAUAUCUCGACGAUUUUGAUUGUGAUUGCGAACCGUGCAUGUUCUUGCUUUUCAGUCGAAUGCCCAUCUGAGAAAAAGGAAGAGAGCGUCCAGAGAAGAAAGGCCUUUCAACUUGAAUGCUAAACUAGGCAAUUUCACUUAGCGCCUUCUACGAACGAAUCCGUCAUCUCGUUCCCCGUGCUCGUCGUCUAUAACGUCGUUUGGCACGAGGAAAGAUUUUUUACUGUUAAACAGUAUCGCCAAAUGGUCCUGCAAUUGCUCAAUGUCCAAGGUGUCUAAUGGUGGCUGAAAUUCUAAUCAAGCUUUGAUUGAUAGUGUCUCCUCAGACUUUUUCAAGAGUGUUCUUCAGAUUAAAAUCAUUGGAAAUGCAUGCCCAUUUUUUGAAAUCGAAAAUUGUUCUUGGACAUUUUCGUUGUUGUACACGAAGUUAGCAAGCACUAAUAAUUAUCUUGGGAGGGCAUGGUAUCCAAACGGGCUCGGACACUCUCUAUGAUGCCAAAAAGGAUCGAUUUGGCCAUUUUCUUUCCACUAGAAAAACAAUAGGGGUAAUCAAAAGAACUUCAUGAACUGCAAACAAUAAACACAAAUUGUGUCUCGUCUUUGGCGAACAGUAAUGGCUAUACUAAAAACUGUUACAACUAAAAGGAUCAUUCUAUCUUAUAGGCAAUGGACCGAGCAUUAAUGUUUUAAUAUGGUGUGACUCGACCAUGGUUCUCACUUUUAGGGUGAAAUCCAAUUUGGCUAAGUCUAUGGGCCGAGACCCCUCUACCUCAUUCUAUUUUCAGGAUGCCCAAUUUGGGCAGUUCUGUGUACUCUAGUGUCGUCAUGAAAUCAACCGAGGAGGUGAUGAACUUACGAGGAGCCAUAGCAUACCCCAUCAUGAGUCCAAACAGAAGUACUUGGGAGAGUAAAUCUGAUGAAGGCUUUCAGCAGAUAACAAUAUAUUUAUUGGUCAUGCGAUUAGCCUUUGUGAAUUCAUAUUUUAAGAUUCAGUCUUAGGAGCAAAAGGAAAAGAAGAAUCUAAUCUUCCUAUGUAGAAGUGAAUUAAAAUAUAUUCAUAAUGAAAAGGACAUGAUUUUUAAAGGCGUUAUUUCUAGGAAAUUCUUUAAGUGGUCUAGUGAAAUAAUUACAAAAAGAUCGAGAAAUUGAUGUUGAUUUACCAAAAAUAAGAUUUGCUGGUGUAGUGUGAUGUCAUUCACUGUCCGUGGAUGAAAGAUAAAUAUCAAUAUAAUAAAAUUUAAAUAGAGAUAAUGUGAUAGUUGGUCUCAUACGAUACAAAUUAGGCAUUUCUUCCAUAUAGAAAUUUGCAAUACAAACACAAAUUAAUAAUAAAGAACCACACUCAAUCAAGGAAAUAAAGAAAGACAUAAAAAUAUCAAUAGCCACUGUUUUCAUCCAUGAAAAUGAAAGAGAUUGACGAAGGAUUAGCUGAGUGUACAUCCCCAUGCCGCGGCAAAUAAAUCGUGAGAGUUCAUCUGCACUCAAAAGAGGAAAAAAUGAGUUUAGAGUAUCUAUGAUACGGUAUUAUGGCAUUUAUUGUGGUAUCAUAUGAAUUUAUUUUCGUUUUUUUUUUUUUGUAAGAAGGAGCUAGGUGAAGGCCCCGCGGCUUGUUGUUAAUGUAGAACAUUUAGAUACUUUCACAAUAUUUAAGGCGAUUAUAUUCGUAAAUAUUUUUUUCAUUAUUUAAAAAAAAAAUUGAAUAGCAUUUUAAAUUUUAGCAAGAACGCAAAAAGAUACUUUUUACUUUGGCUUGAAAUUCUUGAGUUGAGGACCUGUUUAUUAUUAUACUAAGGAUGGAUUUGGUUCGGCUUUCAAAUGAGCCCUGGGAAAAUACAAAUGCCUUUGACUUGAAACCCCUUAGAGAAAUGCAUAUUGCGUUUGAUAAAGAAUCUUUUAUAAAGGUACUUUGGCCUAAGUAGUGUUUGGCAUAUAUAUAUUUGCAAAGGGCUUUUGGAUUUAAUUUUUCUUUUCCUUUUUUAUUAAAAAAAUUAAACCCUUUGGCGAAAGGCUAAGGUUGCAUGAUGGCCACUUGAGUCACGCAACCUCGCAGGCCCCUCACUGGCCAUUCGCUGACAUGAUCUAACCUCAUCAGCCCUCACCAGCCACUUUCGCUCAAGAAAAUGAAUGGUAAUGAGGGGCAAAAUCGAAAAUUAAAGAAUUGGUGAGAGUAGUUUCAGAAGAAGAAAACUAGUUUUAACAUUUGGCAAAAUGUUAAAAGCUCGAUACUAAUCCCUAUUAGCAUUGGGUUUUUAGCUUUCAGCAUUUGGCCAAAAGCCCCAUUAUAAAACUUGCUAGACAUCCCAACAUUUUUUCAAGGAGUUUUGGAGAUUAAAAGCCCAUUGGAAAAUUGAAUCAAACGUAGUCUAAGUCACUAGCCGACAAACCUGUGCCUCAGUGUAGCUAUAUUUUCAUGACAAAUAUUUACAAAUAUUCAAUUUAGUGAGAAAAGGAUAUCCUAUUUUGUAGAAAUAUUCUUAGCCACAUAAAUUUCCUUUUUUAUUUCCAUCACACAUUACAUCUUUAAAAAAAAAAAAAACAUGUUAGGGUAAAUUAAAUCAUAAAAUAGUUCUAAAAGUGGACCUGCAUCUAAGGGGUUUUAACUUUACGCUUUUUGUUAUUUAAACUGCUGUAAAAAUAAAAAUAAAAAUGAAAGAGGUGCAAUUGCUCUAAGUGAGCCUUCAAACUAAAUUAUAUGGAGAAGCAGUCUUUCUCGUGCUAUGCAGGAAUUGAAUUCAUAGUAUAAAAACAUUUUCUUUUGGUUGUUUCAUUAUCCAAGUUAAAAGUUUUAGAUAGUAUUACAAAUUGAGUGUAUAAUUUUAAGUAUAACUCCAGUAUUAAAUGCAAUUUUUAAUUUUUUCGUCAAAUUUAAAUUGGUUUAUUUACUUUACAAAUAGAAUUAUUUAAUAUUGAAUUCCUUUUGCAAUCUAAUGACCUAGUAUGGAUUGUAUCUUCGUAAAUAUUUUUUUCACAUCACUUUUUCUUUUUCUAAUUGCAAUAGUUUAUUUAAAUUUAUUGCAAUGGAAGAAUUUAGUGAAUCGCUAUAUUAUAUCUAAGAAUGCAGAAGAAAUAGAUGGAUGCUUACCUAAUCCUCCAUCCUUUGUACCCAUUUAAGAUCAAGUUGGAUUCGAGGAAUGUGAGCGAUGUUGGGCCAAUCCUUGCCAAUUGUUGGUCGACAUCUCUCGCUUAGUUCACCACAAUAUUCAAUGCAUAAUUCUUUGAGAGGAAUGAGGGAUUGGAUUUCUUGCGGUAUAAAUGAUAAGUUGGGACAUCAUAUCAAGCGAAUUACUCUGAGAUGUAUGUGAUUGGGCAGCCAUACUGGUAUAGCCGUAAAGCUCGGGUAGUCAUAAACAGCAAAGAACUCCAAAGUGUAGGCAGACUCAUCGAGACAUUGGAGCAACUCCACCACUUGUUCGGACUUUGAUAUUGAUAGCGUACAGAGAUUCGAAGGAAGGUUGGACUUGUUAUCCUUGGUCAACUUGAGCUUGCAAUUAUUAAUUACCAAGGACUCCAGGGCGAUUAAUUUCACGAAAAGUAGAGAUAUUGGUCCCACGCAAUGGAUAAUUUCCAAUUUUCGAAGGCAAGUAAGUUGGCAAGUACCUUAAAAAAAAACUCGAAGAUUUUGGCAUCCGCGGAAUCCCAAAAAUUCCAAAUUUUCUAGGUAUUGUAUUCCACUUUCUUGCAGACUCAUUUGCUUUGUUGUUACGCUUAGUCGUCUAAGGUUGAUGAGCCUCUUCAUUUUUUUGGGUAAAUCACCUAACUCUGAGCAAUCAUCAAAGUAUAAGUAGAGCAAACUCUGUAACUCACAAAUGGAAUCUGGAAGCUUCUUCAAUCGCUUGUUAUUACCAAGAAUUAACAACCUCAAUUGCUUCAAGUUGCAUAUGGAACUUGGCAGCUCCUCAAAACUACCAAACCCCAAAUUUAGGUACCAUAAGUGAUUACAUUUGGAGAUGCAUGUUCUAGCAAACUCUCUAUUAAUAACUCCAUCAUCAACUUUGAAUUGAAAAUUAAUUGCAUGGAGCCUUUUUGAAGUUGGCUUUCUUAGAAAAGGUGGGACUCCAUCAAAAUUUGAGAUUCCCUCCAACGAAUUAGUGGAGAAUGAAAUGUACCGAACUCUUUCCGAAAUCUCUACAGUAUCUAAGCCAACAACAGAGCAAUCAUCUUGAGCCACAAUCAUUGCUAGAGAAUGGACUAGAUCGUGCAUUUUAAAACUUAAAAUUGAUUCGGACUCCUCAACUUCUUGGAUCAAAGAUCUCUUCCACAACACUUUGAUGUAGUCAACACCAACAUCUUCCAAUGCUAGUUUUUCUGUUGAUGAACUAAUGAGUCCUAAACUCAUCCAUAACAUAACUAACAUAUAGCUAUGGAUUACAUAUCCUCUGGGAAAAAAGUGAUAAUGUGGCAAAACAACGUUUUAAGUGGGACGGUAAAUGAUUAUAGCUAAGUUUAAGCACCGGCAAGACGUCCUCUUCUUCUUUCAUUAACUUCCAUAUCUCACUAUCUCUUAUAUGGGCCCAAUGUUGUUCUUCGUCCUUUGUGUAAAGUACACUGCCUAAAGUUUUCAGAAGGAGAGGAACUCCUUGACAUUUUAUGACAAUGUCAUUUCCAAUGUCAAGGAGAUCAGGACGUGGUCGCUUUUCCUUUUCAUCAAAUGCCCAUUUUUUGAACAAGGCCAUGGAAUCUUCAUGAGAAAGACCUUUUAGAUUAUGCGUUGGAUGGGUACCCAUCGUAGAAGCGACUUCUGAACUGCGCGUUGUCACAAUUAUCUUGCUUCCACUAGCUCCUUCAAUUAGCAAAGCUUUCAAUUCUUCCCAUCUACUGUGGUUGUUGCUCCAUACGUCAUCCAAGACCAGUAGAAAUUUCUUGUCUUUGAUGGUGGUUCGCAGAAUAGUUUGCAAUUGCUGAAUAUCAAGGUUACUCAAGCUUUGACUAUUUGCAUCUUUGAUGAUUCUUUCGAUAGUCUUUUCUAAAUCAAAAUCCUCAGGUACACACACCCAUAGUAGCAAUUCAAAUUGCGCUUUCACACCGUCAUCAUUGCAAAUUGAUUUAGCUAGGGCCGUCUUGCCCAUACCUCCUAUUCCCACAAUGGGAACCACCGAGAGGUUUUUGUGAUCUGGCCGCAUCAAUAUCUCAAUUAUUUUUUGUUUAUCAACAUCUCUUCCGACGACAUCUAACUUGUUUAUGAACAAGUGAGUAAUCUCUCGUGACUGCGAGUGUCCCAUACCACUGUCAACACUCCGCACAUUAAGACCAAAAUUGAUUCUUAUCGAUGAAAAUUUUAGAUAAUGUCUCCCUAAUCUCCUUGAUCUUAUGACUGAUUUUUGCACGGAGUAUCACUGGAUUAGAGAGGGAGAAGAAGCGGUGUACCUUCUCUUUGACGCCCCCGUACUGACUGAUUACCCGCUUCCGUAAGGUUUCACACUCGAGUUCAUCGAGCACAUCCUCUGCAUCAUACAACACGUCUCGAAGCCGACCUAGCCACAGUUGCAGGCUGCAGUUCUUCGCCCGUUGCUCCUCAGCAUCUAACAACACGGCAGUAAUGGCAGCCAACGUAUUUUCAAGCUCGUGGAUCUGAUCUUUGAUGCUGUAAAUUGCGACGGCUUCUUUGAACGCCGGGGAUGCGAUCUUCCCCAGCACACCCUGUGCAACGCUGAAGAGGAAUGAUUCAGCCAUGCUAGGUGAUGGGGAAAAAGAUUCAGGCUAUUUGGUUCGAGACGAAAAAGAACACCCAAUGUCUUCCUCUCUUGAGUCAAUUGAUAUAAAUGAUGAUGGCUUGCUUACGAUUGGAUGAAAGGGAGGUUCUUUCCUUACGAAUGGCCUGGGAGUUAACAGGAAACAUGCUUUCUCCUUUUUCUUUGAUCUUGCUUUCCUGGGAACAAUAAAGAAUCCAGAUUACUUCAAAGGUCCAAUCUCAUAGAAGUAUCUAUUCUUUACUUGUCUAUGUAAUUCACCUGAAAAUGAUUAUCUAUAUAACUUAGAAAAGUUAGAUUACGAGAAAUUCUUUCGUAGUUAGACGAUGAGAAUACUUUGUCAUUAAUUAAAUUUUGUGAGUGAUAUAGACAAUCAUUGUUAGUUAGGAAAAUAUUUUCUACAUAGUUUAAACAGUUCUUUGUCAUUACCUUUUCAGAGAUGAUCCAGAAUACUAAUAAGGUUAUGGAAAGAAUUAUUGAUCAAACCCAAAGAAAAAAAAAAUAAGCUGGCAUCUGAAGAAAUCGAAUAAAAAAAAAUAUGGAACAAUAGAAAAGAAUCGAAAGCAAAUUCUGCCUUAACUAUCUGAACCACAGUUUCUAUGGAUUAAUUUAGAGCGAGGCAUUGGGAACUCCAAGACUCAUCUCUUUUAUUCCAUGCCAAUCAAACCACGCAAAGAAUCAAAAGAUAAGCAUAUAUUGAUGGCGUUAUGUAUCAAGCAAAGUGGAACAAAAUGAGAUAGAGUCAAGACCUUGUACGGACCAUCAAUUGAACUCUUUUGCGAUGUGUUAGUUCAUCACUUUUAAAAUUGUCAAUUAGUGAUGAGCACUCGUUUCCUAAAGAUUUUGUGAAAAUUCUCUGUUUCCCAUCGAGAACCCAUCUGGUUCGCAAAAUUAUUUUCAUUUUAAUUUGAGGAUGAAAAUAGUUUUAUAUUCUCAAUUUCUGCUUUCUUGAAAAAGUGUUUGGUUCAUCAAGAAGAAAACUUUCGAUAGAAAUGAAACUAUGGGAUUAUGAAUGGUUGUAAUAAUUUCGAAAAGAGAACCCCUCAAUCCAUUUUAAUUGCCCGUUUGCCCAUUAAAUUACCAUUUUUCACUGAGAAAGCCCAAUAGAUUACUCUCAUCUGGAAAUUCUAGUACGUAGUUGUAUGAAGCCCACAUGCAUUCUGGUGAAUGUUUCAAGAGUUUUGGUUUUAAAAAAAAUCGAAACUCUUGAAUUGUAUGAUUUUAAAUUACACAAAAAUAAGUAAAAAGUAAAAGUUGAUCCAGACCACUUCAGGCCACUCUGAGCUUUCAUAAUUCCAAAAAUUUUUAGAGUGAGAGAGCAAUUUUAAGAUUGACAAGUAUUUGACCUCAAAUUGCAACCAUGUCUAAAGUAGAUAAUUCGACAAAUGAGCAUUUGUUUGUUUCACCUUCUCUAUAAUAGCACAAAAAUAAAUUUGAAUUUUUUAAGGGGUCAAUAUGACAUAUAUAUAGAUAAAUUUUUUUUUUAUGGAGAACACCAAAUUUAAAUUUAAAUUUUUUGUCGUAGAAUUCAUAGAUGAAAAAAGAAGAAAAAAGAAAAGAAAAGAGAGAGAGAGAGAGAGAGAGAGAGAGAGAGAGAGAGAGAGAGAGAGAGAAUGUAAAUGUGCUGUUUGGCCAAGGUUGGUCGUUCCAGAAUGUGGGAGCCCAACAACCGGCAUUCUCCUAGAGAAUCGGGUCGGUCUUUUCGUAAUUCCCCUCUUGAUCCAACCCGAAUGUCCAAAACAUUUCAGUCUUUUAUUUUCCUCCUUUAAUUUUAUUUUAUUUACAUUUUAGCAAGUAUUCUUGUCCAUGUCAUGACAUGUAUUGUUCCUAUAUAAUCCUAUAUUACUAAUUUCCAUACACGCGUGCACUGCAAAUAGUUACACAAUUUCAAAACGUUUUUAGAUAUAUCGAGUAAAAUAAAGAUCAAGUUUCAUCGUGACAUCCAAAAAAUGUACAAAAUUAAUAUAAUAAGGUCAUAUAAUUCUACCUUGAAUUUUCAAGCAUAGCUCUAAAAUUGUGUUCCAUUUCAAACACUGAAAAAUGAGGAAACAUUAUUGGAUAGGAUAUUUUAUACUUAAUUUUUUUUCUCGAAAUUUGACGGUUCCUUUUUGUUUUUCCGGAGAGAUGGUAGAAAAUUCCCAACUGAACAUGUAUUCCUCCAAUUUCUCAAUUUUCUUUUUUCUAUUAUUGGGUUUUGGCAAGAGUCCGACCAAAAAAAAAAAUGACAUGUAUUCCUCCAAUUUUUCAAUUUAUUUUUUUCUAUUAUUGGGUUUUGGCAAGAGGAAUAGAUAGCCAACCUUUUUUUCCUUUUUUUUUUUUUGGUCAUAAGAAGAUGGCCAACCUUACAAUGGCAACGUUUCAUGCCAAAUUGUCCAGCGCCGCAUCCUGGUUCUGACCACGUGCCACGAGGACUCAGCUUAUUUUUUUGUCGUUUUCUCUGGCUGGUUCUCUACCGGUAAGUUGUAGUUUGUACCUUACAUUGCUUAACUACUCAGAUUACUAAACCUCCAUUCAUAGGUAAAUCAGGAAAAUCUUAUCAAAUUGCUGCCCACUUGUUUGUGAAUUUCUAUCAUUUGCAUCGACUAGUGUUGGAUUUGAUUCGUCCAUGCACAAAAAAGGAGAAGAGUUACCCUUAAGGUCAACGUAGUCAAUUGGGACGUUGGGGGAAUUUUAGUUCAAGAAUUUCAAAUCACUUGUUCUAAUCAACUAAGUGGAGUUUGUAGAAUUUUAAUCAACUUCAUACCCCUGAAUUGUCGAAAAAGAAAAGGGAAGGUAAAUUAAUCAUAUUCAACAAUCAUUGAAAGUGGCUAUAUCAAUUAAGCUUUUCCUUGCACAUUUUCAAAAUCUAAUUUGAGACUGUGGACUUGUUAUGCAAUGAUCGUUCACCAUCUCAAACUUGUACUUACACAAUUUAUGUCGAAAUUCGAAGAUGUAUUUCAAUUGAACGUAAAAGUUAGGUAUGAUCUAUAAAGUCUGAAGUGGUUCGUGACGAAUAAAACAAAGUAUAAAGAAAUGUCGAAAAAUGACAGAGUAAAUAUUCAGACUGAUCAUGAGUUGCAUGUGCAUUACAUCAGCCAGCCCGAAAGACCGUGGGGGUCCACCAUCGGGACCCACGUUCUUCUCGACUGGAACCUAAGAAAGGACAAAAGCCAUGAGCCCAUCGGCAAAGGACACGUGGCAACCAUUCGCGGAGCGCCAAGUCAAUGACAGCGAAUUUAAAAAUACAAAUAGUCAAAUGAAAUGAAAAAGGAAAUGAAAUUCAAUCAAGCAGCGCAACCAAAAAGAAGCCUGGGGCGAUCGCAACGCUCACUUGCCUCCUUUUUCUCUGUCUAAAAUCGCUAGGAUAUUGUAGCAUGUCAUAAGAGCAAUUAGGCUUUUGAAAUUGUUUAUCUAUCUUCUUAUAAUUAAACUCUCUCAUAAACAAUGAUGAUUUUAUUCCUAAUUAUAACCUAAUUCUUUUAUUUUUAAUAAGAAAAUAGGCAUGCUACUUCUAUUAGUUCUAUAUAAUUUAUACUUAUUUCUACUAUAUAGCUUUUGAAUGAAAGAUAUCAUGAAAGAUAUCAUGGAGUAAUAAUAAUAAUAAUAAUAAACCAGGAGUAUAAUUGAGCACCUAGAUGUGACAAACAUGGUUUACUAAUAAUGAUAUUAGAUAAGCAUUUAUCACUUAAAGUAAACCAACAUUAUUCUUUAUCAAGAAAUGUUUAAAUAGACUACAAAAAAUUAAAUGGUUUCACGACUUAUAAAUGAAAACAAAAAAUAAAUGUAACCAAGCUGCACCAAAAUAAGAAUGAAAAUAUUUUUACGUUUUCGGUUGUCCACUUUAGGGAAAGAGCAUCAAGAUUUUCUAGAAGGAUGCAUGGUGUUGGGCUCCACUUUCGGAACAGCUUGGUUCCUUCGACCUUUACAGAAUUCCAACUCCAUCGUCGGCCAAAUGUCACAUCUAUGCUCUCUUCCUUGAUUUCUUAUUUUCAAAUAAUAUUUUAAAUAUCAACUAUAUGUAUAAAGAAUCUCUUUACAUAUUAUUCUAGUGUAAACAAAUGGCCAAUUGGAAUUUUGCUUUGCUAGAAAUAAGAAUACGCAGAAGAGAGAAUUGUAUGACGUUUUUAUGCUAAAAAGUACAUGAGGCAAGAUGAUUAUCUAAAAUAACAAGAUAUUACAAUAUUAAUUAUAAAUAAUAAAAUGCUAGACAACUUCCCAAUCUCAGUGGCAUCGAGUCAUCGACCGAUUACGUGAUUAAGUACAAUGAGAUUCCUCCUUUCUCUUUGAAUUCAAAGUCAUCACCUUAUGGGGUUGAGCCACCUCAUCGUCCUUUCAAAGAAAAAAACAAUAAAAUAAAGCUGAGAAAAUUCUGUAAAAUAUCUCAGCUCAAGUGAGAUCACAAUGUAUUGUCUCUUUCGCUUCUCCAAGAAUACGUAAUGCAAUGGAUAGGAUGUAGCUAUUUAUUCCACAUUUCACAUUCUAGGAUCGACUAUAGGACUAGGGAGCAAUGUUGGGUACAUACGUUUCCUUGAAUUAUCCAUCCUUUUAUCGUCUCUCUAUUUUCCAAUUAUAGAUGGUGACAUAAUUUGACAUUAUAUGAGACUUAUGGUGUACGAAACUAAAAACAUUUUAUCAUGUGAAUGAAAAUCUUGCUACUCGCCCUUAGGUGAAAUUGCCACAACUUGGGGAGGAUGACAAUCGCGCCAUGUGUGAUCCGCGUCUUUUCAAGGACACGUGGCGCCUGCACGCGAUCGAUCCGCAUUGACUAAACGACGGGCGAAUUUAAUCCGUGCCAUAUUAAUAAAACCUUCGAGCAACAUGCAGGAAUCCAAAUGUCGGAAGCACCUAAACAAGCCAGGACGAAUCCAAGUUCAACAUGCAUAAACUAUCAAUACACCUCUCGUAUAAUGAACCACGACGUAUUAGUCAAAUAACAGGGAAUGGAUUUAAUCAUUGCGAGUCAAAGAACGAGCAAAUUAAUUACAAUUCAAUUUCAAUCAAUGUGCUGACAGAAUGCGUAAAGGAAGCAAGAGGCGAAGAAAUUCAGAGAAGUUUUUUUCUAUUACUUCAAUUGUAUGAAUUCGAUAUACAAUGUUCUGUAAUUAUAAUACAGAGUGUACAUGAAGAAAGGAAAUAAAAUAUUCUACAAAUCAAAUUUAUAUUUCUGUCCAAUAUUUAAUUGAUCCGAUUAGAUCAAUUUAGAUCAAAUCCGGCGAAUCUUCAAGCAUAUCUUCCAACACUCCCCCUCAAGCUGGUGGCUUGUAGAUAUCCAAGACGCCUAGCUUGCUUAAUAGAUAUGCAUGCUGUCUUGAACAUAGAGGUUUAGUGAAAAUGUCCGCCGAUUGUUCAGCAGUUCCAAUCCCUCUUGUUUCAAUUAUCCCUUCUUGGAUUUUCUCUCGAGUGAAGUGACAAUUCACUUCUAUAUGCUUGAUUCCUUCAUGCAUUAUGGGAUUGGCUACAAGUUUCAGUGCCGACUCGUUGUCACAAAACAGUUUUGUCGGCCUUUUAACUUGUAUUCCAAGAUCUCGAGUAGACCUCGUAUCCAUACAAUCUCACAUGUGGUUUUUGCCAUGGCUCGAUAUUCUACUUCGGCUGAAGAUAAAGAAAUCGUUGUCUGCUUCUUGGUUUUCCAUGAAAGAAGUGAUUCUCCUAGUUUAAUGAAAAAACCAGAGACAGAUCUUCAACUCAUAGGGCAAGUCGCAUAAUCUGCAUCACAAUAUGCUGUCAUUUCCAUGUUGCAUUUUCUAGACAAAAGUAUUCCCAGUCCUGGACACUUCUUCAAAUACUUUACAACCUUCAGAGCAGCAUUCAUGUGAGGUUCCUUCGAUUUGUGCAUAAAUUGUCUGAGAUUUUGCACUGCAUACGAUAUAUCAGGCCUGGUCAUAGUCAGGUAUAUGAGUUUUCCAAUGAGCUUCUGAUAACUCGUUGGAUCUCUAAGAAGAGGAUCAUCCUGAGAUGUUUCCUUGACAUGAUCCACUGCAAUUAAUCUGGUAUUCUGCUCAAUUGGAAUAACUGCUAGUUUGCAUCCUGAUAAACCUGCUUCUGAUAUAAUCUCUAAUACAAACUUCCUCUGACUGAGAGAAAUUCCUUGGUGAGAUCUGGAAAUCUCAAUUCCAAGAAAAUAUUUUGGUGCUCCCAAAUCUUUUAUAUGGAAUGUAGUAUGCAAAUAUUUCUUAAGAUUCUCUAUUACAGCUUCAUCAUUUCCCAUAAUUAGAAUGUCAUCUACAUAUAUCAUUAAGUAAAUAGAUGACGUACCUUUAGUCCAUGUGAACAAGGCAUAAUCAUAUUUGGAUUGUUUGAAGUCCGCAGUGGUGAGAGCCUUAGCAAAUUUUGCAUACCAUUGCCUGGAAGCUUGCUUUAGUCCAUAAAGGGAUUUGCGGAGACGACAUACAUUAUUCUCCCCCUGUCUCCGUAAGCCCUGAGAAAUAUCCAUAUAAAUUUCUUCAUCUAAGUCGCCAUGGAGAAAAGCAUUGUGGAUGUCCAUUUGAUGUAAGGACCAAUCAUGGAUUGCUGCAACUGAUAAGAAAGAUCGAACGGUGACAUCUCUAGCAACUGGAGAGAAGGUUUCAUGAUAAUCAAAACCUUCUCGCUGAGUGUAUCCCUUGGCCACCAAUCGAGCCUUGUAACGCUCAACGGAUCCAUCGGCUUUAUAUUUGAUCUUAUAAACCCAUUUGCAUCCUAUAGACUUUUUGUUGGGAGGAAGAUUGACCAAUUCCCAAGUGUGAUUAUCAGUUAAUGCCUGUAAUUCUGCUGCCAUAGCCUGUUGCCACCGUGGAUCUCUAGAAGUCUCAUCAUAACUAGAUGGUUCCUUCUCAUCGGAAAUCCGACUAAUGCAACAUCGAUGUUUGGACGAAAGUCUAUCAAAAGAGACAUAUGAGGAUAUUGGAUAGUUAAUACCUGGUGAAUUAAGAGAGGCACAAAUAUAAUCCUCUGUCCAUGUCGGUGGUCGUGUGGCUCGUCCCAAACAACGUGGAGGAUGCUCUAGUGGUGAAGGAGAUGGUUCUCCUAUGUCUGUUUCUGCCGAAACAUCAGAAAGAUUGUCCACAUUAGGCUGAGUUGUAGACAUACCUUCCAUCUCUUCCUCAUGGUGCAACUGAUGAGGUGAAUGGGAUUUUGGGUGUGGAGGAAUUGCUUGAGCUGGAGAUCAUGUGAGAAAAUAUUCAGGGGAUACAUCUUCCUGAUGGAAGGAACUACGAGAAUUAUCAGAAAUAGUCAAAUUUCCUUGGUUUCCUGGAAUGGGAAGAUAGUUUCAUGAAAAAUGACGUCUCUACUCACGAAAAAAAAUCCCCUGUAGAUGGAUCAAGAACACGAUAUCCUUUAUGUAGGUUGGGGUAACCCAUAAAUAUGCAUCGUCUGGCACGAGGACUCAUUUUGUCCCGAGGUCCCACUGUUGCAGUGUAGCAUAAACAACCGAAAGCUCUUAAAUGAUCAAUUGCUGGUUUUUUUUCAUAUAGUAAUUCAAAAGGUGAUUUACCAACCAGUAUUCGAGUUGGCAUCCGGUUGAUAAGAUAUGCUGCAGUGAGAAUAAAAUCUCCCCAAUAAAUAUCUGGAAUGGAUCCCUGAAACUUUAGUGCUCUGGCAACCUCCAAUAGAUGACGAUGCUUAUGUUCUACUACUCCAUUUUGUUGUGGAGUGUAAACGCAAGAGCUUUCAUGUAGAAUCCCGUGAGAUAAUAAGAGUGAGUAAACGCAAGAGCUUUCAUGUAGAAUCCCGUGAGAUAAUAAGAGUGAGCUGCAUUCAUGGUUAAAAAAUUAUUUCCCAUUAUUAGUGCGAAUCCGCCUGAUUGUCUUCCCAAACUAAUUUUUGGUCAGAAUGAUAAAGGAUUUCAAAUUAGAAGACACUUGAGCUUUGGACUGCAUUAGAAAUAUCCAGGUGGCAUGAGAGUGAUCAUCCACAAUAGUAAGAAAAUAUCGCGAACCAUCACGAUGUGCCGUGUGAUAAGGUCCCCAAACAUCGACGUGGAGUAGUGAAAAAACAGUAGUGGAAUGACUCUUACUGGUGAGAAAAGGUGUGCGAGAUUGUUUUGCCAUAGGACAUAUAUGACAUUUAGAGCAGGAAAAAAAGCACUAUGACCCAUUCUUGAAUGUAAAAGAAGCUCUUACACAAUGAUAUUUUAUUCAAGACAAUUGAUGAAAGAUCAAAAUGANNNNNNNNNNNNNNNNNNNNNNNNNNNNNNNNNNNNNNNNNNNNNNNNNNNNNNNNNNNNNNNNNNNNNNNNNNNNNNNNNNNNNNNNNNNNNNNNNNNNNNNNNNNNNNNNNNNNNNNNNNNNNNNNNNNNNNNNNNNNNNNNNNNNNNNNNNNNNNNNNNNNNNNNNNNNNNNNNNNNNNNNNNNNNNNNNNNNNNNNNNNNNNNNNNNNNNNNNNNNNNNNNNNNNNNNNNNNNNNNNNNNNNNNNNNNNNNNNNNNNNNNNNNNNNNNNNNNNNNNNNNNNNNNNNNNNNNNNNNNNNNNNNNNNNNNNNNNNNNNNNNNNNNNNNNNNNNNNNNNNNNNNNNNNNNNNNNNNNNNNNNNNNNNNNNNNNNNNNNNNNNNNNNNNNNNNNNNNNNNNNNNNNNNNNNNNNNNNNNNNNNNNNNNNNNNNNNNNNNNNNNNNNNNNNNNNNNNNNNNNNNNNNNNNNNNNNNNNNNNNNNNNNNNNNNNNNNNNNNNNNNNNNNNNNNNNNNNNNNNNNNNNNNNNNNNNNNNNNNNNNNNNNNNNNNNNNNNNNNNNNNNNNNNNNNNNNNNNNNNNNNNNNNNNNNNNNNNNNNNNNNNNNNNNNNNNNNNNNNNNNNNNNNNNNNNNNNNNNNNNNNNNNNNNNNNNNNNNNNNNNNNNNNNNNNNNNNNNNNNNNNNNNNNNNNNNNNNNNNNNNNNNNNNNNNNNNNNNNNNNNNNNNNNNNNNNNNNNNNNNNNNNNNNNNNNNNNNNNNNNNNNNNNNNNNNNNNNNNNNNNNNNNNNNNNNNNNNNNNNNNNNNNNNNNNNNNNNNNNNNNNNNNNNNNNNNNNNNNNNNNNNNNNNNNNNNNNNNNNNNNNNNNNNNNNNNNNNNNNNNNNNNNNNNNNNNNNNNNNNNNNNNNNNNNNNNNNNNNNNNNNNNNNNNNNNNNNNNNNNNNNNNNNNNNNNNNNNNNNNNNNNNNNNNNNNNNNNNNNNNNNNNNNNNNNNNNNNNNNNNNNNNNNNNNNNNNNNNNNNNNNNNNNNNNNNNNNNNNNNNNNNNNNNNNNNNNNNNNNNNNNNNNNNNNNNNNNNNNNNNNNNNNNNNNNNNNNNNNNNNNNNNNNNNNNNNNNNNNNNNNNNNNNNNNNNNNNNNNNNNNNNNNNNNNNNNNNNNNNNNNNNNNNNNNNNNNNNNNNNNNNNNNNNNNNNNNNNNNNNNNNNNNNNNNNNNNNNNNNNNNNNNNNNNNNNNNNNNNNNNNNNNNNNNNNNNNNNNNNNNNNNNNNNNNNNNNNNNNNNNNNNNNNNNNNNNNNNNNNNNNNNNNNNNNNNNNNNNNNNNNNNNNNNNNNNNNNNNNNNNNNNNNNNNNNNNNNNNNNNNNNNNNNNNNNNNNNNNNNNNNNNNNNNNNNNNNNNNNNNNNNNNNNNNNNNNNNNNNNNNNNNNNNNNNNNNNNNNNNNNNNNNNNNNNNNNNNNNNNNNNNNNNNNNNNNNNNNNNNNNNNNNNNNNNNNNNNNNNNNNNNNNNNNNNNNNNNNNNNNNNNNNNNNNNNNNNNNNNNNNNAAAACUAAUUAAAAAUUGGUUUUAAAACAUAAAAUAAUAAAUAAUAAUAAAUCAAUUUAAAAAAAUUUAAAAUUAUUGAAAGGAAUGCAUAAAAGAAAUUAUUUUUCUUAUUGAAUGGCAGAUAAAUAUUUUUUAGAUCAUUUUUGGGUUUUAGUCAAAUACCGAAAAAUAUUGUGUUCUUAGAAAAUAUUUUUCAAAAAUACCAUAUUUUCCAUAAAAUAAACGGAGCUCUAAGGUUGAUCCAGUUCCUGGCCCCUUUUCUGACCACCCGUUGGUCAUUUAUGGCCUUCCAAUCAUUCCCCAAAGUAUGGAUUGUGCUCCCGAUGUCAUCGAUCAUCACUUUCAACUUGUUCAUGUGCCGAGGAGCAACUGGGGCUUGUACGCUUGAGCGAAGGGUCUUCUUGGCAAUCGUCACAGGGGAAGAUUGGUGUGACUUGGUCUGAGAGGUGCUCCAAGGAGGAUGAUGAUUCGACGGCAUGGGCGACGGCGGCUGGGAUCUUGGCUCGGCUAGACCCAAUGUCUUAAGAGAUCCGUCCACGUUGGCUUAUUGACAUGAAUUCAAGCUAGGAUGCUGUAGUUUUCUUUUCAUUUUGUGUUAGAUUUAGCGUAUCUUGGAGAUCAUCGUCGGAUUGAUUGUGAGCUGACUUCGUCAUUCUGAAUGGCAAAGCCUCACCGAACUCCUCGGCUUCUCUUCAACAUGUUUUCUGCCAACUUCUUCCCCUUCUUGGUUUUCAUUCGACGGACGUAUCCAUUCACAUGCUCUUCAAGGAAUUCUCAAACGAUAGCCGGUGUGUCAAUAAUCUUAGGGAAACAUGGAACAAAAUGUGAAACAGCAUUUCAUUUGGUGCGGCAAAUUGUUGUAACGAAGUUCGAGUGCACCAAGGAUGUUGUUGCUUUAUGCUGAUUCCUACACACUGCUAUUGGUCUCUUAUUAAUAUGCCGAGAAUUGCUUAUUGGCCCUCGAGAGAUUUCCGAGCAAGAGGAACUCACUUGCAUUUCUCGACGAUUUUCACUGUGGUUGCGAACCGUGCAUUUUCUUGCUUUUCAGUCGAAUGCCCAUUUGAGAAAAAGGAAGAGAGCGUUCAGAGAAGAAAGGCCUUUCAACUUGAAUGCAAAACUAGGCAAUUUCACUUGGCGCCUUCUGCGAACAAAUCUGUCAUCUCGUUCCACGUGCUCGUCACAGUAUCGCCAAAUGGCUCUACAAUUGCUCGACGUCCAAGGUGUCUAAUAGUGGCUGAAAUUCUAAUCAAGCUUUGAUUGAUAGUGUCUCCUCAGACUUUUUCAAGAGUGUUCUUCAGAUUAAAAUCACUGGAAAUGCAUACCCAUGUUUUGAAAUCGAAAAUUGUUCUUGGACCUUUUCGUCGUUGUACACGAACUUAGCAAGCACUAGUAAUUAUCAUGGGAGGGCAUGGUAUUCAAACGGGCUCGGACACUCUACGAUGCCAAGAAGGAUCGAUUUGGCCAUUUUCUUUCCAUUGGAAGCACAAUAGGGGUACUCAAAAGAACUUCAUGAAUGCAAACAAUAAACACAAAUUGUCUCGUCUUUGGCAAAAGGUAAUAGCUAUACUAAAAACUGUUCCAACUAAAAGGAUCGUACCAUCUUAUAGGCAAUGGACCGAACAUUAAUGUUUUAAUAUGGUGUGACUUGACCAUGGUUCUCACUUUUAGGGUGAAAUCCGAUUUGGCUAAGUCUAUGGACCGAGACCCCUCUACCUCAUUCUAUUUUCAGGAUGCCCAAUUUGGGCAGUUCUGUGUACUCGUGCCGUCAUUAAAUCAACCGAGGAGGUGCUGAACUUACGAGGAGCCAUAGCAUACCCCAUCAUGAGUCCAAACAGAAGUACUUGGGAGAAUAAAUCUGAUGAAGGCUUUCCGCAGAUAAAAAUAUAUUCAUUUUUCAUGCAAUUAGCCUUUGUGAAUUCAUAUUUUAAGAUUCAGUCUUAGGAGCAAAAGGAAAAGAAGAAUCUUAUCUUCCUAUGUAGAAGUGAAGUAAAACAUAUUCAUAACGAAAAGGACAUGAUUUUUAAAGGCGUUAUUUCUAGGAAACUCUUUAAGUGGUCUAGUGAUAUAAUUACAAAAAGAUUGAGAAAUUGACGUUGAUUUACCAAAAAUAAGAUCUAAUGGUGUAGUGUGAUGACAUUCACUGUUCAUGGAGGAAAGGUAAAUAGCAAUAUAAGAAAAUUCAAAUAGAGAUAAUUUGAUAGUUGUUCUCAUACAAUACGAAUUAGGCAUUUCUUCCAUAUAGAAAUUUGCAAUACAAACACAAAUUAAUAACAAAGAACCACACUCAACCGGGGAAAUAAAGAAAGACAUAAUAAUAUCAAUAGCCACUGUUUUCAUCCAUGAAAAUGAAAGAGAUUGACGAAGGAUUAGCUGAGUGUACAUCCACAUGCCGCGGCAAAUAAAUCGUUAGAGUUCAUCUGCAAUCAAAAGACGAAAAAAAAAAACGAGUUUAGAGUAUCUAUCAUACGGUACUAUGGCAUUUAUUGUGGUAUCAUAUGAAUUUAUCAUUUCUUUUUUUGGUAAUACGAAGCUAGGUGAAGGCCCCCACAACUUCUUGUUAACGUAGAACAUUUAGAUACUUUCACAACAUUUAAGGCAAUUAUAUUCGUAAAUAUUUUUUUCAUUAUUUUUUAAAAUUUGAAUAGCAUUUUAAAUUUUAGCAAGAAUGCAAAAAGGUACUUUUUACUUUUGCUCAAAACUCUUGAGUUGAGGACCUGUUUAUUAUUAUAUUAAGGAUGGACUUGGUUUGGUUUUCAAAUGAGCCCUAGGGAAAUACAAAUGCCUUUGACUUGAAACCCUUUAGAGAAAUGCAAAUUGUGUUUGGUAAAGAAUUUUUUAUAAAGGUACUUCGGCCUCAAUAGUGUUUGGCAAAUAUUUUUUUUUGCAAAGGGCUUUUGGAGUUAAUUUUUUUUCAUUUUAAUUAAAAAAAAUUAAACCCUUUAGCGAAAGGCUAAGGUCGCAUGAUGGCCACUUGAGUCGCACGACCUCGCAAGCCCUUCACUGCCCUGCGCCGGCAUGAUCUAACCUCGUAGGCCCUCGCCGACCACCCUCACUCAAGAAGGUGAAUGGUAAUGAGGGCAAACAGAAAUUAAAGAUUUUCGAGGGUAGUUUCAAANNNNNNNNNNNNNNNNNNNNNNNNNNNNNNNNNNNNNNNNNNNNNNNNNNNNNNNNNNNNNNNNNNNNNNNNNNNNNNNNNNNNNNNNNNNNNNNNNNNNGGCCAAAAGUCCCAUUAUAGAACUUGCUAGACAUUCCAACAUUUCCCCAAUGAGCUUUAGAGGCCCAAAAGCCCAUUGGAAAAGUUGAAUCAAACGUAAUCUAAGUCACUAGCCGGCAAACCCAUGCCUCAGUCUAGCUAUAUUUUCAUGACAAAUAUCUACAAAUAUUCAAUUUAGUGAGAAAAGGAUAUCCUAUCUUGUAGAAAUAUUCUUAGCCACAUAUAUUCCCUUUUUUAUUUCCAUUACACAUUACAUCUUCUUCUUCUUUUUUUAAAAACACGUUAGGGUAAAUUAACUCAUAAAAUAGUUCUAAAAGUGGACCUGCAUCUAAGGGAUCUUAACUUUACGCUUUUUGUUAUUUAAAUUGCUGUAAAAAAAUAUAUAAAAAAAAUGAAAGAGGUGCAAUUGCUCUAAGUGAGCCUUCAAACUAAAUUAUAUGGAGAAGCAAUCAUUCUCGUGCUAUGCAGGAAUUGAAUUCAUGGUAUAAAAACAAAUUUUUAUUUUGAUUGAAGAAUUUAGUGAAUCGCUAUAUUACAUCGAAGAACGAAGAAGAAAUAGAUGGAUGCUUACCUAAUUCUCCAUCCUUUGUACCCACAUAAGAUCAAGUUGGAUUUGAGGAAUGUGAGCGAUGUUGGGCCAAUCGUUACCAAUUGUUGGUCGACAUCUCUCGCUAAGUUCACCACAAUAUUCAAUCCUUAAUUCUUUGAGAGCAAUGAGGGAUUGGAAUUCUUGCGGUAUAGAUGAUAAGUUGGGACAUCGAAUCAAGCGAAUUACUCUGAGACGUAUGUGAUUGGGCAGCCAUACUGGUAUGGCCGUAAAGCUCGGACAGUCAUAAAUAGCAAGAACUCCAAAGAGUAGGCAGACUCAUCGAGACAUUGGAGCAACUCCACCACUUGUUCGGAGUUUUCUAUUGAUAGCGUACGGAGAUUCGAAGGAAACUUGGACUUGUUAUCUUGGGUCAACUUGAGCUUGCAAUUAAUAAGUAACAAGGACUCUAGGGCGAUUAAUUCCCCAAAAGGUAGAGAUAUUGGUCUCGCACAAUCUACAAUUUCCGAUCGUCGAAGGCAAGUCAGUCGGCAAGCACCUUCAAACAAAAUUCGGAGAUUUUGGCAUUUGCGAAAUGCCAACAAUUCCAGAUUUUCUAGGUAUUGUAUUCCACUUUCUUGCAGACUCAUUUGCUUUGUUGUUACGAUUAGUUGUCUAAGGCUAAUGAGCCUCUUCAUUUUUUUGGGUAAAUCACCUAACUCUAAGCAAUCAUCAAGGUAUAAGUAGAGCAAACUCUGUAGCUCACAAAUGGAAUCCGGAAGCUUCUUCAAUCGCUCGUUAUUACCAAGAAUUAACAACCUCAAUUGCUUCAAGUUGCAUAUGGAACUUGGCAACUCCUCAAAAUUACCACACCCCAAAUUUAGGUACCGUAAGUGAUUACAUUUGGAGAUGCAUGUUCUAGCAAACUCUCUAUUAAUAACUCCAUCAUCUAAACUAAAUUGAAAGUGAAUUGCAUGGAGCCUCUUUGAAGUUGGCUUUCUCAGAAAAGGUGGGACUCCAUCAAAAUUUGAGAUUCCCUCCAACGAAUCAGUGGAGAAUGAAAUGUGCCGAACUCUUUCCGAAAUCUUUGCAGUAUCUAAGCCAAUGACAGAGCAAUCAUCUUGAGCCACAAUCAUUGCUAGAGAAUGGACUAGAUCGUGCAUUUCAAACGUUAAAAAUGAUCCGAACUCCUCAACUUCUUGGAUCAAAGAUCUCUUCCACAACACUUUGAUGUAGUCAACACCAACAUCUUCCAAUGCUAGUUUUUUCGUUGAUGAACUAAUGAGUCCUAAACUCAUCCAUAACAUAACUAACAUAUAGCUAUUGAUUGCAUAUCCUCUGGGAAAAAGUGAUAAUGUGGCAAAACAGCGUUUUAAGUGUGACGGUAAAUGAUCAUAGCUAAGUUUAAGCACUAGCAGAACAUCCUUCUUUUGUUCCACUAACUCCCAUAUCUCACUAUCUCUUUUAAGCAGUAUCUAUACCGUUCUUCGUCCUUCUUGUAAAGUAGACUCCCCAUAGUUUUCACAAGGAGAGGAACUCCUUGACAUUUUUUGACAAUGUCAUUUCCAAUGUCAAGGAGAUCAAGACAUGGUUACUUUUCCUUUUGAUCAAAUGCCCAUUUUUUGAACAAGGCCAUGGAAUCUUCAUGAGAAAGACCUUCUAGAUUAUGCGUUGGAUGGGUACCCAUCAUAGAAGCAACUUCCGAACUGCGUGUUGUCACGAUUACCUUGCUUCCAUGAGCUCCUCUAGUUAGCAAAGCUUUCAAUUCUUCCCAUCUAUUGCGGUCAUUGCUCCAUAUGUCAUCCAAGACGAGUAGAAAUUUCUUGUCUUUGAUGGUGUCUCGUAGAAAGGUUUGUGAUUGCUGAAUAUCAAGGUUACUCAAUUUUCCACCAGUUACAUCCUUGAUGAUUCUAUCAAUAGUUUUUUUUAAAUCAAAGUCCUCAGGUACACACACCCAUAGUCACAACUUGAAUUGCUCUUUCACACUGUCGUCAUUGUAAACUAAUUUCGCUAAGGCUGUCUUGCCCAAACCUCCUAUUCCAACAAUGGAAAUCACCGAGAGGUUUUUGUUAUCCGGUUGCAUCAAUAUCUCAAUUAUCUUUUGUUUAUCAGCAUCUCUUCCGACGACAUCCAACUUAUUUAUGAACGAAUAAGUCAUCUCUCGUGACCGCAAGUGUGCCAUACCAUUGUCAACACUCCGCUCAUAAAGAUUAAAUUGAUUCUUCUCGAUGGAAAUUUUAGAUAAUGUCUCCCUAAUCUCCUUGAUUUUAUGACUGAUUUUUGCACGGAGUAUUAGUGGAUUGGAGAGGGAAAAGAAGCGGUGUACCUUCUUUUUGACGCCCCGUACCGACUGAUUACCUGCUUCCGUAAGACUUCACAUUCAAGUUCAUCAAGCACAUCCUCCGCAUCGUACAACACGUCUCGAAGCCAACGCAGCCACAGUUGCAGGCCGUGGCUCUUCGCCUGUUGCUCCUCAGCAUCUAACAACACGGCCGUGAUGGCAGUCAAGGUUUUUUUAAGCUCGUGGAUCUGAUCUUCAACGCAGUAAAUUGCGACGGCUUCUUGGAGCGCCGGGGAUGCUAUCUUCCCCAGCACGCCCUGUGCAACGCUGAAAAGGAGGGAUUCAGCCAUGCUAAGUGAUGGGGGAAAUUGAUGCAGGCUAUUUGGUUUGAGACGAAUAAGAACAUGCAAUGUCUUCCUCUCGUGAGUCAGUUGAUAUAAAUGAUAAUGGCUUGCUUACGAUUGGAUGAAAGGGAGGUUCUUUCCUUACGAAUGGCCUGCAAGUUAACGGGACAUAUGCUUUCUACCUUUUCUUUGAUCUUGCUUUCCUGGGAACAAUAAAGAAUCUAGAUUACUUCAAAGGUCCAUUCUCAUAGAGAUAUCUAUUCUUACUUGUUUAUGUAAUUCACCUAAAAAUGAUUGUCUGUAUAACUUAGAAAGGUUAGACGACAGAGAAAUUCUUUCGUAGUUAGACGAUAAAGAUACUUUGUCGCUAAUUCAAUUUUUUGUGCGAUAUAGACAAUCAUUGCUAGUUAGGAAGAUAUUUUCAUCAUCGUUUAAAUAGUUCUCUUGGCAUUGCCUUUUCAGAGAUGAUUCAGAAUACUAACGAGAUUAUGGAAAGAGUUAUUGAUCAAACCCAAAGAAAAAAAUUAAGUUGGCAUAUGAAGAAAUCAAAUAAAAAAAAAAGAUGGAACAAUAGAGAAGAAUCGAAAACAAAUUCUGCCUCAACCAUCUGAACCAAAAGGCUAACUCAGUUUCUAUGGAUUAAUUUAGAGCGAGGCAUUGGGAACUCCAAGACUCAUCUCUUUUGUUCCAUGCCAAUCAAACCAAGCAAAGAACCAAAAGAUAAGCACAUAUUGAUGGUGUUAUUUAUAAAGCAAAGUGGAACAAAGUGAGAUAUGGUCAAGACCUUGUACGGACUAUCAAUUGAACUCUUUUGUGAUGUGUUAGUUCAUCACUUUUAAAAUUAUCAAUUAGUGAUGAGCACUCGUUUCCUAAAGAUUUUAUGAAAAUUGUCUGUUUUCCUUUAGAACCCAUCUGGCUCGCGCAAAUGUUUUCAUUUUCCAUUGAGGAUGAAAAUUGUUUUAUAUUCUCGAUUUCUGUUUUCCCGAAAAUGUGUUUGGUUCGUGGAGAAGAAAACUUUCGACGGAAAUGAAACUACGGGAUUAUGACUGGUUGUAAUGUUUUCGAAAAGAGAACUCAUCAAUCCAUUUUAAUCGCCUAUUUGCCCGUUAAAUUACCAUUUUUCACCGAGCAAGCCCAAUAGAUUACUCUCAUCUAGAAAUUCCAGUACGUAGUUGUAUGAAGCCCACAUGCAUUCUGGUGAAUGUUUCAAAAGUUUUGAUUUUAAAAUAUUCGAAACUCUUGAACUGUAUGAUUUAAAUUACACAAAAAAAGUAAAAUUUAAAAGUUGAUCCAGACCAGUUUAGGCCACUUUGAGCUUUCAUAAUUCCAAAAAAUUUUAGAGUGAUAGAGCACUUUUAAGAUUAAUUUGUAUUUGACCUCAAUUGCAACCGUGUCUAAAGUAGAUAAUUCGACAAAUGAGCACUUGUUUGUUUCACAUUCUCUACAAUAGCACAAAAGUAAAUUUGAAUUUUUUAAGGGGUCAAUAUGACAUAUAUAUAGAUAAUUAUUNNNNNNNNNNNNNNNNNNNNNNNNNNNNNNNNNNNNNNNNNNNNNNNNNNNNNNNNNNNNNNNNNNNNNNNNNNNNNNNNNNNNNNNNNNNNNNNNNNNNUCGGCCCUCGCCUCUGGCCAGCGCCGCCGGCCAGAGGAAGAAGAAGGAGGUAAAAAAAUCAAAAAAAAAUUCGAAAAAAAAUUCGAAAAAAAUUAAAAAAUUCGAAAAGAAAAUUUAAAAAUUAUUAAAAAAUUGUUUGCCGGCCAGCUGUCUCCGCCCGGCGUCCACGUCAGCUCCGGCUGGCCAAUUUUGGCCGGAAGGACUGAAUUGGCAUAAUUAUAAAAGGUUUAGGACUAAAUUGACAAAAAAAAAAAAAGUUUAUGACUGAAUUGGCACAAUUGCCAUAGGUUUAGGACUUUUUUGGUAAUUCUCCCAAUAAGAUUUGAUGGUGUAGUGUGAUGUCAUUCAUUGUCCGUGGACGAAAGACAAAAAUCGAUAUAAGAAAAUUCAAAUAGAGAUAAUGUGAUAGUUGGUCUCAUACGAUACAAAUUAGGCAUUUCUUCCAUAUAGAAAUUUGCAAUACAAGCACAAAUUAAUAAUAAGAACCACACUCAAUCAAGGAAAUAAAGAAAGACAUAAAAAUAUCAAUAGCCACUGUUUUCAUCCAUGGAAAUGAAAGAGAUUGACGAAGGAUUAGCUGAGUGUACAUCCACAUGCCGCGGCAAAUAAAUCGUGAGAGUUCAUCUGCACUCAAAAGAGGAAAAAAAAAUGAGUUUAGAGUAUCCAUGAUACGGUAUUAUGGCAUUUAUUGUGGUAUCAUAUGAAUUUAUCUUCUUCUUCUCUUCUUUUUUGCAAAACGGAGCUAGGUGAAGGCCCCCGCGGCUUGUUGUUAAUGUAGAACAUUUAGAUACUUUCACAACAUUUAAAGCGAUUAUAUUCGUAAAUAUUUUUUUCAUUAAAUUUUUUUUUGAAAAAAAUUGAAUAGCAUUUUAAAUUUUAGUGAGAACGCAAAAAGAUACUUUUUACUUUUGCUUGAAAUUCUUGAGUUGAGGAAAUUUUUAUUAUUAUACUGAAUAUGGAUUUGGUUUGGCUUUCAAAUGAGCCCUGGGGAAAUACAAAUGCCUUUGACUUGAAACCCCUUAGAGAAAUGCAAAUUGUGUUUGAUAAGGAAUCUUUUAUAAAGGUACUUUGGCCUAAGUAGUGUUUGGCAAAUAUAUAUAUAUUUAUUUAUUUAUUUUGGAAAGGACUUUUGGAUUUAAUUUUUCUUUUCCUUUUUUAUUAAAAAAAUUAAACCCUUCAGCGAAAGGCUAAGGUUGUGUGAUGGCCACUUGAGUCACACAACCUCGUAGGCCCCUCGCUGGCCCUUCGCCGGCAUGAUCUAACCUCAUUAGACCUCCCACUUUCGAUCAAGAAGAUGAAUGGUAUUGAGGGGCAAAACCGAAAAUUAGAGAAUUGGUGAGAGAGUAGUCUCAAAAGAAGAAAACUAGUUUCAACAUUUAACAAAAUACUGAAAGCUCGAUACUAAUCCCUAUUAGCAUUGGGUUUUUAGCUUUCAACAUUUGGCCAAAAGCCCCAUUACAAAACUUGCUAGACAUCCCGACAUUUUUUCAAGGAGUCUUGGAGGCUGAAAGCCCAUUGGAAAAUUGAAUCAAACAUAGUAUAAGUCACUAGCCGGCAAAUCCAUGCCUCAGUCUAGCUAUAUUUUCAUGACAAAUAUUUACAAAUAUUCAAUUUAGUGAGAAAAGGAUUCCUAUUUUGUAGAAAUAUUCUUAGCCACAUAAAUUUCCCUUAUUAUUUCCAUUACACAUUACAUCUUUAAAAAAAAAAAAAACAUGUUAGGGUAAAUUAACUCAUAAAAUAGUUCUAAAAUCGGACCUGCAUCUAAGGGAUUUUAACUUUAUGCUUUUUGUUAUUUCAACUGCUUAAAAAAAAUAAAAAAUGAAAGAGGUGCAAUUGCUCUAAGUGAGCCUUCAAACUAAAUCAUAUGGAGAAGCAAUCAUUCUCGUGCUAUGUAGGAAUUGAAUUCAUGGUAUGAAAACAAUUUUUUUUUUUUUGUUGUUUCAUUAUCCGAGUUAAAAGCUUUAGAUAGUAUUACGAAUUGAGUGUAUAGUUUUUAGUAUAACUCUAGUAUUAAAUGCAACUUUUAAUUUUUUCGUCAGAUUUAAAUUGGAUUAUUUACUUUACAAAUACAAUUAUUUAAUAUUGAAUUCCUUUUGCAAUCUAAUGACCUAGUAUUGAUUGUAUCUUAGUAAAUAUUUUUUUCAUAUCACUUUUUCUUUUUCUAAUUGCAAUAGUUUAUUUAAAUUUAUUUCAAUGGAAGAAUUUAGUGAAUCGCUAUAUUACAUCUAAGAAUGCAGAAGAAAUAGAUGGAUGCUUACCUAAUCCUCCAUCCAUUGUACCCAUUCAAGAUCAAGUUCGAUUCGAGGAAUAUGAGCGAUGUUGGGCCAAUCCUUACCAAUUGUUGGUCGACAUCGCUCGCUAAGUUCACCACAAUAUUCAAUCCUUAAUUCUUUGAGAGCAAUGAGGGAUUGGAAUUCUUGCGGUAUAGAUGAUAAGUUGGGACAUUGAAUCAAGCGAAUUACUCUGAGACGUAUGUGAUUGGGCAGCCAUACUGGUAUGGCCGUAAAGCUCGGGCAGUCAUAAACAGCAAAGAACUCCAAAGAGUAGGCAGACUCAUUGAGACAUUGGAGCAACUCCACCACUUGUUCGGAGUUUUUUAUUGAUAGCGUACGGAGAUUCAAAGGAAACUUGGACUUGUUAUCCUGGGUCAACUUGAACUUGCAAUUAUUAAGUACCAAGGACUCUAGGGCGAUUAAUUCCACAAAAGGUAGAGAUAUUGGUCCCACACAAUCUACAAUUUCCAAUUUUCGAAGGCAAGUCAGUCGGCAAGCACCUUCAAAAAUAACUCGGAGAUUUUGGCAAUUGCAGAUUCCCAAAAAUUCCAGAUUUUCUAGGUAUUGUAUUCCACUUUCUUGCAGACUCAUUCGCUUUGUUGUUAAAGAUAGUUCUCUAAGGCUGAUGAGCCUCUUCAUUUUUUUGGGUAAAUCACCUAACUCUAAGCAACCAUUGAGGUAUAAGUAGAGCAAACUCUGUAGCUCACAAAUGGAAUCCGGAAGCUUCUUCAAUCGCUUGUUAUAACCAAGAAAUAACAAUCGCAAUUGCUUCAAGUUGCAUAUGGAACUUGGCAGCUCCUCAAAAUUACCAUUCUCCAAAUUUAGGUAUCGUAAGUGAUUACAUGUGGAGAUGCAUGUUCUAGCAAACUCUCUAGUAAUAAUUCCAUCAUCAACAUUGAAUUGAAAUGUAAUUGCAUGGAGCCUCUUUGAAGUUGGCUUUCUCAGAAAGUGGGACUCCAUCAAAAUUUGAGAUUCCCUCCAACGAAUCAGUGAAGAUGAAAUGCACUGNNNNNNNNNNNNNNNNNNNNNNNNNNNNNNNNNNNNNNNNNNNNNNNNNNNNNNNNNNNNNNNNNNNNNNNNNNNNNNNNNNNNNNNNNNNNNNNNNNNNCAUGAAGACUUAGUUCGUUUGUAAAAAGUAUUAAGAAAAGUCCUAUAUCUAUUGUAUUGAUAUAAAUUUAAUUUUGUCAAUUUAGUAAUUCCAGUUAAUUUUAGCCAAAUAUUACUAAGGUAGACUCCGGCUGAUGUUGUCAUGAACAUUUUUAAUAAUGUUUCUCUUUUCGUUGGGGUGGCCCUCGCCACCACAAGCGGCAUCGGCCUCGCUGGGGUGAGGGUGAGUGUCAGCGAGACCGCCCUCACCCAAGUGACAAAAUCUGGUAAGGCAAGCACUAGCUUGGCAAGGCUUAAUCUCAUCGGAUUUAAUUUCCAAUGCCUUAAUGUUAAGUAUAAUGUUUGCCCAUCAUAGUCAACAGCGUAAGGAGAACAUGUCAUGCUCAUUAAGCAGGUGGAGCGAAUAUAGGCACGAAAGUGACAUGCCAAAGGAAAAUGGGAUAAGAACCAGAAAAUAAAAGUAAUAAAUAAAAUUUUUGUUCAAAAAAUACAUAUGACUGCCAUAUCUAGUUGAAGAUUUCUUUCUGCCAUCCUUAUUGCCCCUUUUAAAUAAAAUUCCAGUAUUAAAUUGGAUGACCAGUUAUCUUAUUUUCAAAAAAAAAUAAUGACUCUAGUCAAUUUUUCCUCACCCUGACGUUUAAGUAUAUUAUUAAUACUAUCAAGAAGCAACUUAUUCAUCCUAAUUUGCUGAAACCAAAGCUGAAAAUAAGAAUUAUUGCUACAAAACUCCCCAAUCUCGAUGACAUCAAUCGUUUAUGUGAUUAAGUAUGAUGAGAUUCCUCCUUUUUCUUUGAGAUCGGAGUCAUCACCUUAAUCCACCUUCCCCGUUAUCAACCGAUGACUUAUCCCCCUUUCAAAAGGAAAAUUAAUAAAAUAAAAUCAAGAAAAUUUUAUAAACUAUGUCGGCGGUUGAGUGAGAUCACAAUGUAUCACCUCUUUCUUCAAUCUAAGGUUUUAGUAUAUUAUUAAGAACAUCAAGGAGCAACUUAUUCAUCCUAAUUACCACCGGCCUUGGUGGCUCUGCUGGAUAAGAACCCCUUGCCUUGGGGGAAAGGUGAGGGGAUCAAACCCCAGGGGAAGCAUCGGCGAUUUAAGCGUGACGUCAGGGUGAUGGGUCCUCCGCUAGCGUCACUCCAGGGUUUACUUGGCGGCUAUGUACCGCCGUAAGGCGACGAACGGCUGACGGGGUUCCCUGGGUAUCAAAAAAAAAAAAACUUAUUCAUCCUAAUUUACGGAAACAUAAGCAAAAAUAAGAAUUAUUGCUACACAACUCCCCAAUCUCAAAGGUAUCAAUCAGUUACGUGAUUAAGGACGAUGAGAUUCUUCCUUUUUCUCCAAAUUCAAAUUCAUCAACUUACAGGGUUCAGCCACCUCAACCUCCUUUCAAAGGAAAAAUAAUAAAAGAAAAUUGAGAAAAUUCCAUAAAAUAUGUCAGUGCUCGAGUGAGAUCACGGUGUAUUGUCUCUUUCGCUUCUCCAAGAAUACGUAAUGCAAUGGAUAGGAUGUAGCUAUUUGUUUCACAUUUCACAUUUCACAUUCUAGGAUCGACUAUAGGACUAGGGAGCAAUGUUGGGUACAUACGUUUCCUGGAAUUAUCCGUCCUUUUAUCGUCUCUCUAUUUUCCAAUUAUAGAUGGUGACAUAAUUUGACAUUAUAUGAGGCUUAUGGUCUACGAAAAUAAAAUUUUUUUAUCAUGCAUAUGAAAUUGUCGCCGCUCGCCCUUACGUGAAACUGCCACAAAUUGGGGUGGACGACGACUUGACUUUAUUGCGCCGUGUGCGAUCCACGUCUUUUCAAAGACACAGUGCCUGCAUGCAGUUGAUCCGUAUUAACUAAAUGACGGGUGAAUUUAAUCCGUACCGUAUUAAUCGAAUGCUCAAGCAACAUACGUGAAUCCAAAUGUCGAAAGCACCUAAACAAGCUAGGAUAUAUCCAAGUUCAACAUUGAUAAACAACCAAUACAUCUCUGUAUAAUGAACCUCGACGUUUUAGUCGAACGAUGGGGAAUGAGUUUAAUCAUUACGAGUCAAAGAACGUGCAAAUUAAUUACAAUUUAAUUUCAAUGAAUGUGCAAAUCUAAUUAACUUAUCAAUGCUUGUUUUUUUUAUCUUAAUUCAACCCAAGAAGUUAAAGCAAUCGUUGCAGCUCAAGAUUUCCGGGCAGAAGUGUUUACUUCAAUGUAGAAAUCCCGAUUUUGAAAGGUUGAUGGAGUCGGUUUUAUCAAAUUAAAUUUCAUUUUUUCCUUUAAAAAUAUGUGAGAACAGUAUUUAUAUACAUGGGGCCUCGGUUCACGGACCGACGGCUCUCAAGGUCUCCUAGGUUCUCCAGUCCAUUCAAACUGAUUUUCUUUCUGUACGGAGAAGGGUUUGGCUUUAUUUAACAGUAUUCUUAAUAAUUACAUAUACGACUAGCACUACAAAAAAACUCCAAAAUAAUACAUCAAUGACAAGUUUUCCUUUGAUAGUUUUUAUUAAAUUUUCCCAUCAUAUUGUUGAGUUGAAGACACGUGACAAUUAAUAGAUGCACUAGUUUAGAGUUUUACCAUUUGUUUGUCAUAGAUGUACAAAAUAAUAUCAUUUAACGUAAACCUAUAAAGGGUAAAUUUGUCACAAAUUUAUUAUCUUGAAGUUUAUUAUUGUCAAAAAAUUAAUUUAUGGUAAAUUUGCCAUAAGUACAUUGAUUUGAGGUUUUUGAUAAUUAAAUUAUUAAUUUAGAGUAAAUUUGUCACAAAUAUACCAAUUUGAAAUUUUUAUGUUAUUAAUCCUUACAUAUAUUCAAUAGAAUGACGAUCUAUUUUUUAAAUAUAUAUUUAUUUCAAAAGCAUAACAAUUGUCGCGACCAAUUUUUCGCAGGUGAACCACCUAGGGUUUGGCUAAUAAAUUGUUAAACCUAGACUUAACUCGGAGUCUCCCAAGCCCAUACCAAUUCGCGACUUAGGUUCAAGUUAUUAACAUGCUAUUAAUUUUUCAAUUAGGAGUCGUCACUAAUCUAUUUUUGGUGGGUCGAUUAGAAACCCAAGUAAAGUAACGGGAUAUUUAGUUUAUUCCUACGAACCAAAGAUUUAAGAGUUCAGGGACUUGGUUACGCUAAAUUUCUCUUACGCCAUUUCGGUACAUUUCUCUUUUAUUUUGAAAAAUGUUUGGCAAUCAACUUAAAUUGAUUUUAAAUCUAUUUCCCUUGUGAGGCAAUCAUGCAGGUGCGCAAACCACUAAUUUAACACCUAGGACUUACCUUAUAGCAACGAAAGCAUAUGCUCCUUACCAAAAAAAAAAAAAAAAACGAAAGCAUCUGCAAUAUUAAAUCAGAAUUCAUAUCAACAACCCAAGAUAUAAUUUCUAAUUAACACGCAAUUUAUUUUUUGUUUUCAAUUAAUUAAUGGAAAUCAUGCAAUAUGCAAUGUAAUAUAAAUAAAUGACUUAAUUCUAAUGACAUGCAAGUUCUAAUUAAACGAACCUAAUAACAAUCUCUAAAUGACGUGCAUUUCAUGAAUCUAAUCCUAUAUGACAUUUACACGACAUUUUUUAUAUUUCUAAAAAUGCAAUCUAUCCUAGAGAAUGAAACUAAUUUAUUCUAAGACAUUUUUGUAUUUUUUUCAUGAAAUUCGGAAUUAGAUAAAGUGUGAAAAUUAUCUAAUUAGAUUAAGAUUCUAUUCAAUUUGUAUCAGGAAUUAGGUUGAACCAAAUCCUAAUUUAAACUAAAAUAUUAUCUUAACCCAAAUAAUCCUAAAAUGCAAUCUAUCUAAUAUCUAAACUUAUAAUAAAUUAAGAAAAAUAUUAUCUAGAAUUAAACUAAGUGCAAUUUUACCCUAAUAAGCAAUGACGUACAAAAAGAUGCCCUAACUCUACAUGACAUAUGCAUGAUGAUUUUUUUUUCUUUCUUUCUUUUUUAAUUUCGAAAUUGGUAAUUGCCGAAUAAUUAAACAUGCAAUUCAAAUUUAAAACUAACAUCCUAAAUGAAUGCAUUUUUUUAACAAAUUCGAAAUAAAAUCCCUAUUCUAAAUAUGCGAGAUAACAAGAGAUAUUCUAAAACCAACCUAAUCCUAAUCCUAAUUCAAAUAUUUUUUGGAUUUUUCCUUUUACAAAAAAUAAGAUUGACUCAACCAACAUGACGGCAAAUCAGAUAAAAUAGAAUCGAUAUCCACAAAUUGGCGAACCAUAUCUCGCGCAAGAGAUCGGGCUGACCAAUUUUUAAAUAAAUCGCGAAUCGAAUCUCGAGCAUGAGAUCGGAUUGGCAAUUUUUCGAGCGAUUGCAAUUGUAAGUCGGAUUUCGGGUGCGAAAAUCGGACUAUCAAUCUCAAAUUUCAUAGGCAAUUUCAUGUCGAGAAUUUCAGUUAUACAUUAAAGAAUAUUUCUACUAAAAAGAAAGCAAAAAAAAAAAAAAAACUACCUAAAUUAGUUUUUCCUUUUUUUCAGUUAUACAUUCAAGCUAUGCAUGCUAUAGUUUUCUUUUCAUUUUGUGUUAGAUUUAGCGUAUCUUGGAGAUCAUUGUCGGAUUGAUCGUGAACUGACUUCAUCAUCUGAAUGGCAAAGCCUCACCGAACUCCUCAGCUUCUUCUCAGACAUGUUUUCUGCCAACUUCUUCCCCUUCUUGGUUUUCAUUCAAUGGACGUAUCCGUUCACAUGCUCUUCAAAGAAUUCUCAAACGAUAGCCGGUGUGUCAGUAAUCUUAGGGAAACAUGGAACAAAAUAUGAAACAAUGUUUCAUUUGGUGCGGCAAAUUGUUGUAACGAAGUUUGAGUGCAUCAAGGAUGUUGUUUCUUUAUGCUGAUUCCUACACACUGCUAUUGUCUCUUAUUAAUAUGCCGAGAAUUGCUAAUUGGCCCUCGAGAGAUUUCCGGGCAAGAGGAACUUACUUGCAUUUCUCGACGAUUUUGACUGUGAUUGCGAACCGUGCAUGUUCUUGCUUUUCAGUCGAAUGCCCAUCUGAGAAAAAGGAAGAGAGCGUCCAGAGAAGAAAGGCCUUUCAACUUGAAUGCUAACCUAGGCAAUUUCACUUAGCGCCUUCUGCGAACAAAUCUGUCAUCUCGUUCCACGUGCUCGUCACAGUAUCGCCAAAUGGUUCUGCAAUUGCUCGACGUCCAAGGUGUCUAAUAGUGGCUGAAAUUUUAAUCAAGCUUUGAUUGAUAGUGUCUCCUCAGACUUUUUCAAGAGUAUUCUUCAGAUUAAAAUCAUUGGAAAUGCAUGCCCAUAUUUUGAAAUCGAAAAUUGUUCUUGGACCUUUUCGUCGUUGUACACGAACUUAGCAAGCACUAGUAAUUAUCAUGGGAGAGCAUGGUAUCCAAACAGGCUCGGACACUCUCUACGAUGCCAAAAAGGAUCGAUUUGGCCAUUUUCUUUCCAUUGGAAAAACAAUAGGGGUAAUCAAAAGAACUUCAUGAACUGCAAACAAUAAACACAAAUUGUCUCUUGUCAUUGGCAAAAGGUAAUGGCUAUACUAAAAACUAUUCCAACUAAAAGGAUCGUCCUAUCUUAUAGGCAAUGGACCGAACAUUAAUGUUUUAAUAUGGUGUGACUCGACCAUGGUUCUCACUUUUAGGGUGAAAUCCGAUUUGGCUAAGUCUAUGGACCGAGACCCCUCUACCUCAUUCUAUUUUCAGGAUGCCCAAUUUGGGCAGUUUUGUGUACUUCUAGUGUCGUCAUGAAAUCAACCGAAGAGUGCUGAACUUACGAGAGCCAUAGCAUACCCCAUCAUGAGUCCAAACAGAAGUACUUGGGAGAGUAAAUAUGAUGAAGGCUUUCAGCAGAUAACAAUAUAUUUAUUGUUCAUGCGAUUAGCCUUUGUGAAUUCAUAUUUUAAGAUUCAGUCUUAGGAGCAAAAGGAAAAGAAGAAUCUAAUCUUCCUAUGUAGAAGUGAAGUAAAACAUAUUCAUAACGAAAAGGACAUGAUUUUUAAAGGCAUUAUUUCUAAGAAAUUCUUUAAGUGGUCUAGUGAAAUAAUUACAAAAAGAUCGAGAAAUUGACGUUGAUUUACCAAAAAUAAGGUUUGAUGGUGUCGUGUAAUGUCAUUCACUAUCCAUGGACGAAAGAUAAAUAUCAACAUAAGAAAAUUCAAAUAGAGAUAAUGUUAUAGUUGGUCUCAUACGAUACAAAUUAGGCAUUUCUUCCAUAUAGAAAUUUGCAAUACAAACAUAAAUUAAUAAUAAAGAACCACACUCAAUCAAGGAAAUAAAAAAAGACAUAAAAAUAUCAAUAGCCACUGUUUUCAUCCAUGGAAAUGAAAGAGAUUGACGAAGGAUUAGCUGAGUGUACAUCCACAUGCUGCGGCAAAUAAAUCGUGAGAGUUCAUCUGCACUGAUAAGAGAAAAAUAAUGAGUUUACAGUAUCUAUGAUAUGGUAUUAUGGCAUUUAUUGUGGUAUCAUAUGAAUUUAUCUCUUAUUCUUCUCUUAUUUUUGUAAGACGGAGCUAGGUGAAGGCCCCCACGACUUGUUGUUAAUAUAGAACAUUUAGAUACUUUCACAAUAUUUAAGGCGAUUAUAUAUAUAUAUAUUGGUAAAAUUUAAGGCGAUUAUAUUCGUAAAGGAAAAAUUACUAAAAAAAUCAUAAACCUAUUGUAAUUGUGCCAAUUCAGUUAUAAACUUAUUUUUUUGACCAAUUGAGUUCUAAGCCUAUUAUAAUUAUUCUCGAUCAGUCCAUCCAGCCAAAAAUGGUUGGCCGGCGUUGACGUGGUAACCGGCCGGCGCCGACGACAUUUUCUUAAUAAUAUAUAUUUUUUGAAAUAUUUUAUUAAUUUAUUUUUUUUAUCUUUUUGUUUUCCUUCUCCCUCUCCCUCUCCCUCCUUCCUCCUCCUCUCCUCCUUUCCUUGGCUCUAGUGACUGGCCAGAGGGGAGGGCUAGUNNNNNNNNNNNNNNNNNNNNNNNNNNNNNNNNNNNNNNNNNNNNNNNNNNNNNNNNNNNNNNNNNNNNNNNNNNNNNNNNNNNNNNNNNNNNNNNNNNNNUCUUCCAAUGCUAGUUUUUUGUUGAUGAACUAAUGAGUCCUAAACUCAUCCAUAACAUAACUAACAAAUCACUACGGAUUUCAUUUCCUUUGGGAAAAAGUGAAAAUGUGGCAAAACAACGUUUUAAGUGGGACGGUAAAUGAUCAUAGCUAAGUUUAAGCACCGACAGAACAUCCUUCUUUUGUUCCACUAACUUCCAUAUCUCACUAUCUCUUAUAUGGGCCCAAUACCAUUCUUCGUCCUUUGUGUAAAGUAGACUCCCCAUAGUUUUGACAAGGAGAGGAACUCCUUGACAUUUUUUGACAAUGUCAUUUCCAAUGUCAAGGAGAUAAGGACAUGGUUGCUUUUCGUUUUGAUCAAACGCCCAUUUGGUGAACAAGGCCAUGGAAUCUUCAUGAGAAAGACUUUCUAGAUUAUGCGUUGGAUGGGUACCCAUCAUAGAAGCGACUUCUGAACUGCGUGUUGUCACGAUUAUCUUGCUUCCAUGAGCUCCUUCAGUCAGCAAAGAUUUCAAUUCUUCCCAUCUAUUGCGGUCAUUGCUCCAUACAUCAUCCAAGACCAGUAGAAAUUUCUUGUCUUUGAUGGUGUUUCGCAGAAUAGUUUGCAAUGGCUGAAUAUCAAGGUUACUCAAGCUUUGACUAUUUGCAUCUUUGAUGAUUCUGUUGAUAGUCUUUUUUAAAUCAAAAUCCUCAGGUACACACACCCAUAGUAGCAAUUCAAAUUGCGCUUUCACAGCGUCAUCACUGCAAACUGAUUUAGCUAGGGCUGUCUUGCCCAUACCUCCCAUUCCCACAAUGGGAACCACCGAGAGGAUUUUGUGAUUUGGCCGCAUCAAUAUCUCAAUUAUUUUUUGUUUAUCAACAUCUCUUCCCACGACAUCUAACUUGUUUAUGAACGAGUGAGUCAUCUCUCGUGACCGCAAGUGUGCCAUACCAUUGUCAACACUCCGCACAUUAAGACCAAAUUGAUUCUUAUUGAAGAAAAUUUUAGAUAGUGUCUCCCUAAUCUCAUUGAUCUUAUGACUGAUUUUUGCACGGAGUAUCACUGGAUUAGAGAGGGAAAAGAAGCGGUGUACCUUCUCUUUGACGCCCCCGUACCGACUGAUUACCUGCUUCCGUAAGGCUUCACACUCGAGUUCAUCGAGCAGAUCCUCUGCAUCA